rnacentral:lncRNA from 1 species
UCCGACUACCUAGAUCUGUACUCACUCUAGACGAUGAUCUCAUUUUGAAGCCUACACCCUAAUCGACAUCCGAGGUCAAAAAAACCCCUUUUUCUGGCCACCACCAACGAAAUCCACUACCAGCUACAUUCAUAGUUGGCCACAACUUGAAAGAUUCAUUUACAUGUAAGUGUUAUGUUCUCUUUUUAGGUUUAUUUAGGGCUAGGGUUUGUGAUUUAAUAGUUGUUUAUAAUGUUUGUAAUUUAAAAGGCCUUGGAAUUGGAUGGUUUUUCAUUAUGAGAGAAGUGUGGCAGCUUGAGAUGAGGAGUAGGAGUUUAGGAGGAGUCGUCUUGGGAAAAUGUCAUAAGAUGGAUAAAAUCAUGUUUGCAGGUCUAUUUUUAUGAAUCUUGGAUUUAUCGUGAGAUUUGAAUUGGGAAAGCUCCAUCAAGGUUCCAAAUCUUUGAUCAAUUUUUGUUUUGAAAUUGUGUGCAAUCCUUGGUUCUAGAUUUGGAUUAAAAAAAAUUAGUGUCUUAAUUUUCUUCGUCAUUUUUUUUUUUUUUGGAUGUUGGUGUUGUCUUAUUUGAUUUUAACAACUUGAUUUCUCAAAGAGGUCUUUGUUUUUUUAUGAAAUUUGUUCACGUUGGGUUGUUGUAUAGCUUGUAUUCCCUAGAUACAUGCAAGUUGCUUGAUAAAAUGGGUGUGAGAAUCAGAUAUAUGUUCCUUUUGUUGAAUUAAUGUGAAAAUAUGUGUUUAAUAUCUUGAUGUUUUGUAUCUAUGGUUUCAAGUUUCCAAGUCUGAGUAUUGGAGCAAUGAUUUAUCUCUUCUUAGUUUAUGGAAUAACCUGUAAAUCAUCGAUUCAUUCUAUAAUGAAAUUAAAAGGAAAUCCAUUAGACAUGAAGUAUAGAAAAAAAACAGAGAAAAUGUAAGGAAAAAACAGGGGAAAUUUGAGUGUGUUAGCACCACUUGUUAGUUUUGAUGGCCCUAAGACUUAAUUCUCUACGUUAUUUUCUAUUUCACUAUAUGAUCUUUGAUUAUAUUUUGAGCCAAUAUUAAUCCACUUACUAAACUAAAUCAUCAACGUCCAUUUCAGGUUUGUAUUUGGUGGGCCAUUGGAGGAAAUCUCAUAUACCUCACAUAUAUAGGAUUGAUCAUUGAAUGAAGUUGCAAGAUCAAGUGGUGAUCGACCUAAUGGAUGGUUUAGAGUUUCCAGAACUCACUUGAUCAUCUAACUGUUGGAGGACAGGUAAAAAUACAAUGGCUUUGGCAUGAUGACACCCCUUUUUUCUAUGUUUUUUUUUUAUUUUUUCUUUUUAAAAAAUUAGUUUUCAAGAGGCAGAACUAGUAUCACUUUUAGAACAUAAAACAUGGACUACUAUUGGCCAUUUUCUUGUUCCUUGUUCUAGAUAGUUUUUGAAAAGUUGUAAAGCUUUCUUUAUUAUUUUUUGGAAACUACUAAAAGGGUUUUGGUGUGGUCACUAUGAGAUGUUUGAAUUCAAUUUGACCAUUCAGUUCAAAUCCAAAUAUAAAUGUCAUUAAAGGCAUGUUGCACUUUGAAAUAUAUGUUAUUAUUCUUAUACAAUUUUAUACAUUUGAGAAAGAUAUGAAUAUAUAUCUAGGGAGCAUUGAAUUGUUCUAGGAUUUCAAUGAUAUAUGUAGUUUUUAUGCUUUAUCGUGUUGGGAUUCUUCACUUAUCUAUUAGUUCUUCUUGCUCCAGAUGUUGAUGAAUUUUGUUGUUGUGUUAUUGUUGUUGUUGUUGUUAUUAUUAUUAUUAUUAUUAUAAUUCCAAUUAGGAUUUAGAAGAGUUUUCAUUCCAAUUAGGAUUAACUGUGAGUAUAUAUAUAUAUAUAAUUCUGGUUUUUAAAGAAACCGGUAUACAUAUCAGCAAUUGACAAAACCUUGUGUUGGGAGGUUGGGCAAUGGGUAGGAAUGUUCUUCAGAAUCACAUUACACUAUCACCAUCUAUUCCUCAAUAUUUAAAAAUAAGCCCAAGUAUUUCUAAAGUUUGUAUAUUUUUUGACAAUGAGAGAAUACUAGAACAAGAAAUAGUUGUUUUGUAUAUUUUUUAAAUAGUAAAAGAAGUUGAGUUUUAUUUAUAUUUAUUCUAUAGUCCACAUUGGAUCAUACACAAAAAAGAGUUAAGUUUAAAUUUUGAUACAAAAUGGAAUUGACACCCUAAUAUUUUUUAAUUAAAUAUUGCUAUGUUAUCCUUACAUUAUUUUUAAAUAUUUUUUAUGAAACAUUUAUUUUAGUUGCUUCAUUAUAGUUUAAUUUUUAAUUAGAAUCAUAUUAGGAGAGUUGAAAUGUUAGUUGCAUUAAAAUAUUAACUUUUUUUUUUAACGAUAAGUGAAAUUAAAUUAGGCACUUGCAUAAAAAGAUGGUUGAUACUAAGAUGGCAGGACGAUUUGCUUUUGUAAAUCCGGCUUUGGUUUCCAAAGCUGGAAUGGGGGAAGCAAGCAAGGAAAGUAGGUCAAGGCUUAUUACUAAUCGAUUGAUAAAUGCAAAUUAUGCUAACUUUAUUUUCAUUCCAUACAACCUAGGGUAAGUAUAGAACUUAAGUAAGCUAUGUAUGUAAACUUAUCAAAUGAUAAUUAAUAUAUAACUAAAUUUAUGUAAAAUUUUGUAGCUAUCAUUAGGUUUUGGUGGCAUUGGACACAAGGACUAUGAUUGCAUAUUACCUUGACUCAUUGCAAGAUCAACCUUCUGAUGAUCUUAAGGAGAUUAUUAAUAUGUAAGUUUCUCUCUCAAUACUAGAGCAUGAAGCAUAAUUGGUAACACAUAUUAUUUUCUUCAUGCAGGGUCCUUAGAAUUCAUCUACCACAAAAACAUAAAUCAUCAAAGAGGGAGCCUACUUGGGUUGUAAUAGGAGUGAGUAAUUCAUAUAAAUUAAGUAAUGCAAUUUUUAAUACCAUUUCUUAAUUUUUAAUUAAGUACAAGAUAUCCUACAACUAACUAUAAAAUUGGUGUAUUCUACAAUGAUUUAUUUUUAUGCAUAAAGUGUCCAAUACAAAUAGGUAGUGUUGAAUGUGGAUACUAUGUGAUGAAAUAUAUGAGAGAUAUUAUUGCUGAUCAAGGAUGUCUUACAUCAAAGGUGUGCACCAAUUUAUUAAUUUCUAAUAUAUCAAUUUUUAGCUUAUUUUUCAAUGUAAUUGAUCAAAUUGUUUACAUUACUCCUUAAUAGUUUCACAGAAAAAAAUCAUAUAGCAAAGAUGAGUUGAACGAAGUACGAUCUGAAUGGGUAAUGUUGGUCACUUAAUUGAUACUUUCUUUUGUUUGAAGGCUUUGAAGACACCUUUUUGUAUGGAAAUAUAUCAUAAUUUUGCCCUAUCCAACUAUCACUUUUGGCGAGGUUAAUAUUUUAUUUCUUUCUCUUUUGAACCAAUAUAUCAUUAAAAGUAAAUUGUUUGAUGGAAUCACAACCAAAUUGAUAAUAUUUUCUUUCUAUUGUCAUGAUAUUUCUCCAGUUUCCCAUAACUGAACUAAGCUGUUAAUUGCAUGCAUGACUCACAGGCAUCCAAAGGGAAACUUUCAGAAGCUGAAAGUUGGAAGUUUUUCCAAGUUUCUAAUAGUUUAUGAGCUACUGCCACAACAAAGGUGUUUUUCAUAGGGAUAUCAAGUUUAUUAUUUUUUACUUCCUAUUAAAGAUCUUUUAAAGGGGGAUAUACACUUGGAAUUUUUUUGUUCUCAUGUGAUCAUUUGUUUUCAUUCUCAACUACAAAAUGUUCUUGUUGGUUCAAAAGGAAACAUGAAGACUUCUAAUUUUGGCCAUGGUGUUUUACCACUCUAUUGUAAGUUACAUUGUCACCCUCAUAAAACAUAAAAAUUUCUUCAUAAAAUAAUUUUUUUGUUUCAUUGCUUAACUUAUUUAUUUUUCAAUGAAUCUAAAACUACAAGAUGAUGGAUUACUAUAUAUAUAUAUAUAUAUAUAUAUAUAUAUAUAUAUACAAAUAGUGGAAGUUCAAAUUACAUUGCUUAAUUAACUUCUAAUUAAGUUUUUUCAAGUGUCGAAAAUGUGGUUUGUAGUUUAAUUUUCAUUUUAUUAAAAUUAACGGUUCUAUUUUUAUCUCUUCAACCAAUUUGUAGACUGGGUAAUUGAUUGAGCAUAGCUCUAGAAGAUGCCAAUGAAGUAUCUCUAUGAACAUAAUCCCCUCAUGAUAGUGAUAAAUAAGAUGAAUGAUAAGUAUGAUACAAUUGGCCACUGUUUUGGAUGCAAUGUUGCAAUGCAUAUCAGAUGGUAGGAAAUGUUAAUUCUUUUAACUUAACAAAAAACUUAGUUGAUAAAGUAUCAUGGUGUGAACCCUAUUUAUUUCAUGUUACACCAUAUUCCCAAACCUUCCCUUUACAAUGUUGCACAUUCGAUGAGGUCUAUUACUAUUAAACAAUGCCUAAUUGAAUAUUUUAAUAGACUAUUGAUGUUGAUAUUCUCUUGUCCCAAACUUGGUUUGUUUUUCUAUUUUCUUUAAUUUGGGUUUUACUAAAGAUUUAAUGGAUUAUUGAUGUUAAUGUUCUCUUGUCCCGUAUUUGAUUAAUCUUUUGCUUUGUGUUUUAACUAUUGAUAGUAAUUUUGUUAUAAUUAUUCUUAGGGUCACAUAUAUAUGUCAAUUGGUAUACACAUUUGUUUUCCUAUUAUAUUUUCAUUGUCAUUUCUUUCAAUCUAUUUCUAGAAGUAUUCACUUAUAUAUCUUUUUCUGAAAUUGUAAUUGAUUUUAGUUUUUUGUGCAUGUAGGUCAUCUUUUUGGGAAAUUAACAUUGUAGUUGGAUAAGCUAGCAUGAAGAAGUAUGUUGAAGACCAAAGCACAAUUGGGUUGCAUGUAAAGAAAAAAUGGACUAUGUUAAGGGACUAAACAUUAAAGUGGUGACUUUUUUUUGUUAUUUUAAUAUAUUUUAGCUUUUUUGUGUUUCUUAUUUAUGAAAUACAAGUUCAACUAUCUAUUAUUAAAUACUGUAAUUUGGAAAGGUAUUACCAGGUGAAAAAUUAGGUGCAACAACUAAUUUCAUUGGUACAUAAUUUUUUUUCUUAUGUGUAUGCAUUAUUUCAAUAGCAGAUGAAAAAUUACGUGCAACAAUUAUUAAAUUAGAACUAAAUUUAAGAUUAAACAAUUAUCUUCCUUGAUGCUUUUACUAAAUGUUAAGGAAUGACAAUAUCCACAUUUAUCCAACCCAAUAAUGACACUAAUAAAUGUGUCGAUGUAGUGCGAACAACUAACAAUGACACUUUUUGAAGUGUCAAGGUUCUCUUCAAUGACGCUUUCUAGAAGUGUCUUUAUAGUUCGAUAUUUGAAACUGCUAAACAAUGACACUUAUAGAAAGCGUCAAGGUUUCUUCUACUCAACAAUGACGCUUAUAAAAGUGUCAAUAUAGUUUGAUAUAACUAAUGAUGACAAUUUUUUUAAGCGUCAAGGUUCUCUUCAAUGACGCUUUCUAAAAACAUAAUUGUAGGCAAAUACUUAUUAUGACAGGCUAGUAAUUGAUGCUUUGGGGAAGCGCCAUUGAAGGUAUUUCUUGACACUUAAAAAGUGUCAUGGUUAACGUUUUUUUUUUUUUUUUUUUUUUUAUAAUGGAAGUAAUAAAAGGUAUAAUAUUAAAAUGUUAAUCUCUUCUUCUUUUGUAAAAGAAAAUUUAAUAUUAUAUUUUAAAUAUAAAAAUCUUACAUUUACCUACAAGUUUUAAAAUUUUAAAAUAAUAACAAAAUAAAUAAUUAAUUAAAUAAAUAAUAAGUAGACAACUUUAUACUAUGUAAUAGAUAUAAGUAUUUAUAAACUUGAACCUACACUUAUUGAGAAGAAACGUACACCUAGAGUGGCAAGUCUUGACUCAAUAUGAAAUGGAACAUCAGAUAACUUGUGGUUGCAUGAAGCGUGAAGAGACACCUUUGGCUCAAAGAGUGUAUUUAGUUGGGUGGUUAUGGUAGUUGCAUAACCAUCACCCCCAUACUCUUGUUUUAGAUUCAACUAUUUGAAUUCAAAAUUCUAAUGCAUGACAACAUGUAUAAAAGUCUCCUCCAUUGUAGAGAGAUAAGAGAGCAUAGAGAGAAUAAACAAAUAGUGUAAUAUUUUCUAUAACUCAGGCAAAAUUGUAUAAGGUGUUAGAGCACUUAGUAAAAAGUUUUGUGAUCUUAUAAUUGUUGAGUAAUACAAGUAAGGAAAGCUCUUGUAUCUUGUUGGUUGCGUGUAUUAUAUUUCUUUUGUUGUGGCUUUUGGGAAUGUUGGCUAAGGUUAGGUUAGUGUCUUAGCACCGCACACUCGAAAAAAAAAGUGGUUUUUCUAGGGUGUGACACUAGGCUUCUUUAAUUUAUGCUUUAGAGGAAAAAUCUUAUGUCAAAAUAAAAUGUUUUUGAACACUCGAAAACAUUUAAGCUAUGUUUGGUUCCCAGAAAAUUUGAGGAAAAAUGUAAGAGAAAAAAAAUACAAAGGAAAAUAGAAGGAAAGAAAAAGUGAAGAAAAAUAAAAAAAAAAUAGAUUAAAAAUUGAUAAAUUAUUUUUUUUAUUACUUCAAACUCAUUUUAUUUAUUUUAACUCAUUAAUAUAAAGAUUAAAUAAUUUAAAAAUAUAUAAGUUUUUAAUUAGUUUUAAUUAUAUAUGAUUUUUUUUGAUAUUUUUUAUAGGACAACCAAACAUGAAAAAAUCAUUUUCCUUUAGAUUUUUUUUAUUUCUUUAGUAUUUUUUGGAACCAAACAUAACCUUAAGGUUUAAUCAGUGAACAAAGUCUUUGCCUUUCUUUUCUUUGAGCUUUUUCCCUCCUAAAAGUUUAAGGUUUUUCUUGGUCCAAAUUUGAGUGAAAAUGAGUAAUGAUCAGGACCUCUCUACCAUUGUCAGAAGUUCCUCCUCUAGUGUUGCUCAUAAAGCCAUAGCCAAAAACACACUAGAAAAUAGCUUCUUCCACUCUGAUGAGUUUGCCUUUGACUUAUCUCCUUCUCCUUUUCCUGUAUGAUUCAUCCCAAAAAUGAACUGGACAACCCUUUUGACGAAUUGUCUCAUGUUUACAAACCUUUCUACAAGAGGGUUCAGUCUACCACCACAAGGCAAAGACAAACAAUGCUGCCAAAGAGGAUUUCUUGAACGACGACUCAUUUUCGUUUCCUACUUUAGUUGAUACGAGGAAUGAAUACCAGGACACAUUUGACUAACCCUUCGAUGAGUAUCAAAUUGAAUAAUACCCCACAAAUGAUAAUACCAAAAUCAAUUCCAGCAAAUACAAUUCCACAAUUCGAUCAUGUAUGAGUUUUCUUCAUUUUUCUUCUUCUUUUCUUAGCUUUUUUCUCGGUAGUGAAGAGGACCAAGAGACUUGAGUACUGCUGACUACAUGCACGAUCACACCUAUUUGUCACUUCAAAAUUUUAAACAUUUUUUAUGUUUGUAUAUCCUUAAAAAUGUUAAUUAUAAGAAAAAUAAAAUUUGUGACGUGGUAAAUUUUAACAUUAAUUAAAAUUCAUUACUAUAAUUUUGAGUCACACUCAUUUACUACAAGCUUAAAGGAUUUAUAAACGCUCUCACUCAUGUCCAUCUACCACAACUUUAGAAAACAACACCACGUGCUACAUCUCCAACUUCUACACUGCUACAACACUUUAUUUUGAAUUUGAAUUUUAUUUUAAAAUUCAAUGGAAAUGCAAUAUCAUAAUUUUCAUAUCAAUUGAAAGAUAAUAUCAUAAUUUUCAAAAUCCUCUUUAUAUCUUUAAAAAAAUUGUUAUAAAAUAUAUUAACUUAUUACAAUAUAAAUAGCAUGUUAUAAUAAAAUCAUGUCAUUUAUUAAGUCUAUCUACAAAAAAUAAUCUUUAAUUUAUAAAGCCUCUAAUAUUAUAACAAUAAUGUACUCCUUAAAUAACAACAUAAACUUAUGAAAUAAAAGUUUAUAUAUAUAUAUAUAUAUAUAUAUAUAUAUAUAUAUAUAUUAAAAGGGCAAUAAAUAGUUGAAGACAACAUUACUCAAUAUUAAAUUAAGAAAAAAAAAAUGGAGAAUGGAAAUUAGAAAGCUAUAUUACAAAACAAAGAUGCAUUUUUUAUAAAAAAAAAAAAUUUAAAAAUACUUAUAAAAAGAUGCAUUUUUUUAGGUAAGCAUUUGUUUAAUUUAUAAGUUAUAUUUUCAUUUAUUUUUGUUUAAUUUAUGAAAACAAGGUGCGAAUUGAUUUCCAAAGACAUGAAAUUCAUACGCAUAAUCAUGUGGGUAAUACGUGCACAAUUCGGUGUGUUAACGCGCAAAGGCAUGUAAAGUUAUGUGAUUAAGAAGUGAGACCUAAUAUGAAAAGAUUUUUUUUUUUUGUUAAAAAAUGAUAAUAUUUAAUUAUUUAGAAAUUGAUUAAAUGAUAAGGUAGAGGGUGUUUUAAUAAAACUUAAUACUUAUUACUUAAUAAUUUAAGUUUAUUUUAAAUUAAAUUAUUUUUAAGUUUUUGUUUCGGUAAAAUUAAAUUAAAUUUUAUUCUUAAUUAUCAAAUUAACAUAUUUACACUUGUCAAUUUUAACUUUAACGUAUUCUAAAAAUAUGAAAUAAUUACAAAAAUAUUUUACCAUAAAAGAUGAAUUGUGAAUGUAAAGUGAUACUUGUAAAAUAUGUUUUCACUAAAUAUGGGUAAAUAAGGUAAAAGAAAUUUGAAAUUAAAAAUAAAUUAACUAUUUUGACUUAAUACUUAAAAUUCUUUUUUACUUUAAAUUGUGAUAUUAAGUUAUUUUACCAAAUAUAUUUAAUCUAUUUAAUAACUUAAAUUAAGUCAUUAAGUCAUAUUAUGUCAUUAAAUUGAUUUACCACACACCCUCUAAACGAAAACUUAGUAAACUAAAUGUAAAUUAAUCUACUUGAUUUAUAAAGUUACUUCCUCACGUAUAUCUUAAGAAUAUUAGUUAAGUUAAUCAUAUUAUUGUAUAUAAAACUAAUAUAAUUAAUUAAUUAAUUAAUUAAUUAAUGACUCAUAUUUAUUUCUAUUCCUUUAUUAAGAAAUGGAUGUAGGUUGUAAUUAAUAGUUUUGUUUCUAUUUUUAUUCAAAUGUAGUAAAGAUAAUUGAUAAUUUAAUUAUAUUUAAACGCAUUUAAUAUAUCUUUUCCUCAUUAAAAAAAAAUUAAUAAAUGACUCAACUUUACCUUGAACUUGUUAAAGAUAAAGAGAGAUAUAUCUUACAUUAAGUGAGAAUUAUUAGAUGUGUCAUCCCUCUUAAUUGCAUAUUGAUGUUAGAAUUAUUAUUAUUAUUAUUAUUAUUAUUAUUGUCAUUAGGGUUAAAUAUAAUUUACUCCAUCACUUUUUUUCGAGGCAGAAAUUUGAUCCCUUAAUUUAAGAUUUUGAGUAAAAACAAAUAAUUACCAACUUACCAUUAGGUUAUACUGACAUUCAUAUGUUGUUCUACUCUCCUAAAAUAAAUUUCAUGUUAUGUCUUCCGUAACCUUCCUUUCUGACUCCAUCAUUAUUUUUCAUUUUCAUAUUCAAUUUUUUUUUAUAUUUUAUCUCCUUACAUUCAAAUAUGUUUCACAACAAACAUCUAAAUGAUAAAUUGAGUUAUUUCUUUUUAUUCAUCAAAUAAAUAAGACAUACAUUAUUUUGUAAUCAAAUUACAAUAAAGAAUGAGAAUUUAUGAAGCAUGUGGGUCUAAAAUGGACAAUUGAAGUGACAUCAUAACAAACAUCCAAAAUUCUCCAUUCCAUCCUAUAAGCAAAUAUCUUUCAUUUUCAUAGAAUUACAUCAUACUUGUCACUAACUACAUUGGAAAAACAAUUUAGUGGACUAUUUUUGGAGGUCAAUCAUUUUUGUAGAUGCAAAUAAAUGAUAUUGCAUUUUCCCAAUCAAACUUUUGAUUAAAUAAAAGAUAACAAUAUUUGUUAUUGGGAUCAUCAAAGAGGGAAUUUGAAAAAUCAAAUUAGAAUAUGAAAUCAAUUUUCUAGUGAAAAUAUAAGAACUUUAAAACUUGGUUUAAAUAUUGGAGAAAUAUUUCGUAACGGAGGAUAGAAUCAUUAUUAACAAGUUUUUUUGAUAGAUAUGAGAACGAUAUAUAUUUAUCAAAUAUUAUAAAUGACACGAAAUGACAAAUACUAGUAAAAAAUUUAUAACAGACAUAAAACGACAACUAUCAACCGAAAAUUUACGAUACCGACAAAAAGUCAUUUUCUAGAUGACAUAUUAGUUAAUGUCUAAUAUAUACAAUUUAACAAAUACCGGUUUUUUAGUUGAAACAUUAGUUAAUAUAUCAUCUUUUCGGUAAAUAUACUUAUAACAAAAUUAUAAUAAAUGAUAUAAAAUUAAUUUUAUAUAUAUAUAUAUAUAUAUAUAUAUAUAUAUAUAUAUAUAAAGCAAUAAUAGUAUAUAUUUUAGUUCAAAUUUUUUAAGAGAAUAAAGAUUAUUUUCAAAUUGAUUUUUAUGUCCUGUAAUAUGAGUAAAGCUAUUAUUCACUCAAUUAUGACAAGUAACAUGCAUAAAACUAAUUUCUUAUUUAAAAAUAAAUAUAUAUAUAUAUAUUUACUUUUUUUCCUUUUAUGAAAAACUCGGUUUAGUGACAUUGAGCUAGUAACAUCCGUACGCGGAGUGUCAGUGCAUGAGAGUCAGAGAAAAAAGCCAAAACAAAAAUAAAUGAAAAGAUGAGUGGUUUUGUAGUGAAAGAAACCACUGGCUCAAUCCACAAAACCACCUUUUCUGGGACUCCACUCCAAAACCGCCAUUGUUACACACCCUCUAUAAACAGGGCACAGUCCGUAUCAGUCUUCUCCACACCAGCUCUUUCCUUUCUCUGAACUUUGAGGUUUCUUUCUGAUUAGUGAGCGACGUUGUUAGCCCUUCUUCUCUCUAAUUUAGGGUUUUUUCAGGUCGAAAUUUGAGCGAAAAUGAGUAAUGAUUGGGACCUCUCUGCCAUUGUCAGAAGCUGCUCCUCCAGUGCUGGUCAUANNNNNNNNNNNNNNNNNNNNNNNNNNNNNNNNNNNNNNNNNNNNNNNNNNNNNNNNNNNNNNNNNNNNNNNNNNNNNNNNNNNNNNNNNNNNNNNNNNNNNNNNNNNNNNNNNNNNNNNNNNNNNNNCUCAAGCGCCUCGGGGAAGACGGUAACUCAUUUUUCAUGGGUUUGGUGUCGAAAAGAAUUCCGUAAUCUUUGAAAUCUCCGGUUUUGCUUGCUUUUUUUUUGUUACAGGAGAAAGCAGCCGAGGCUGGUGAUGAAGAUGAAUGCGGAGUCGCUGUCUACAGACUCAUGGAGUUGGAGAAAAUAUGGACAGAAGCCGAUACAGGGCUCCAUAACUCCAAGGUUUGUUUCUGAAUUUUUGAAUUUUACUUUUCAUCAGAAUUUCAGGCAUAUUUCUAAUUCAUUUCAUUUUGAGAAGCAGAAGCUACUAUCGCUGCAGCAGCUUCAAAGGUUGUGCAGCUAGAAAGCAAGUGGACCUAAGCGAAGAGGAGCCGGACGUGUACAUCGUCACCUACAUCGGCGAUCACACCCACCGCCGCCCCGGAGGCUGGAGAUCCGACGUCGGAACAACCGAAAAAGUCUCCGCCUCCCCCACCUCCGACAAUACCCCGAAACCAGACACUGAAGACAAUAAUGAAGACACCGAACCAUGGUGUGAAGCCCAAGAAGACGAUGAUGAUAUUGUCAUGGCCAUGCAUGCACUCGACUCAACGGGAUCGGCCUCUACCAGCAGCCAACCUCAGUCUCCACCCAAAAAUUCCGUCAGCACCGCCGGAGAAUCUGUUUAGAUCGCCCUCAAACGUCAGGACGAAUCAAUAGAUUUUUCCCGAUCUUUUCCUUUUUGCUCUUUUCGUAGGAUAAAUAUGAAGGAAAAGAAAAAAAAAAAAGGCCCUCUCUACUUUUUCUUCCAUUAAAUUCAACAGACUGUGACGACAAAUUGAUAAAAUCAUGGAGUUUGUCCCUUUGUUUUUGUUCACUGUACUAGUCUAAAAAAAUUGGGCAGGUCCUCGGAAAAUUUACAAAGUCAAAGCCCCGUCUAAAGUCUAACUUGGGGCUCAAUUGGUAAUAAUUAUAAAAAAAAACGUUUUUAAUUUUACAAAUAUUUUAAAAAAAUAAAAAAUUUUAAAUGUAAAAAAAAAAGAAUAAAAAUGCUUGUAAAAUCAUUAUCAAAUGAAAUAUAGAAAUAGAAAUAAAAGUGGAAUUAAUAUAUGAUUGAUUUUAUUUAUAUUUUACUAAUUAAUUGUAUUUUAAAAAGCUAUAAGAAUUAGUGAUAAUUUUGACUUUUGGGAAGUAUUCCAUUAAAUGUCUUAGUAAAAGUAAGAAUAUCUAUUUUUAAGCAUAUAAAUGAACACAUAAAUCAGGUUGAGAAGUGUGGGACCCAAAUUUAAUGGUCCAAAUAAGCAUCUUGAAAAGUUAUGCAUGAUCAUCACCCUCAUUGUUAGUUCGAUACAAGUUGUCCAAUUGAAGUAAGACAUUAAAGCUUACUUUUAAUGUUUUUGAUAAUAUUUUAUAUUUAAAUUCAAAUUUUUAUUAACUUAAGAUGACUUCUUGUGAAGUUAUAAUAAGUUUAGCUUUUAAGUUGUAAUAUUAAGUUAUUUUAGCACCGUAUAUAUUAUGGUGUUGUUUAAUUUUAAGGUUAUUUGAUUAAAAUGAUCAUUGAAAACCCGAUUUUAGAAAUCUAACCCUUCAUCAUUUUUUAGUUACAUUUUGAUAAAAAUACCUUUAUUUUUAUUUUUAUUUUUUGGUAAAAAUAAUUAUUUUUUUAAAACUUAUAUGUCAAUACUCAAAAUAAUUAAGGGCAAUUAUGUCAAAAAUGGGUUACUCUUCAAACAAAAACAUAGAAAAUGUUAAAUUCACAAAUAUGAGAAUUAUUUCGACCAUUUUAACUAAUUAAUUCUUAGUUUUAUGUCCUAAAAUUAAAUUAAAUUUAAUAUAACUCAUUAAGUUAUUUUAGUAUGGAGCAUACCUUGGUGAUGUUUAGUUUUAUGUCUUAAAACUAAAUAGAUUUUAAUUUGACUUAAGUCUAAAUAAAAGUUACUUUCAUUAAGUAUUUAUUGUAUUUAUUUCUAUUAACAUUUGAAUGUUAUUUAGUGUUAAAAUAUUUGUUUUUAUUAUUUUCUUUUGUUUUAAAUAAAUAUUUUUUAUUUUUUCAAAAAUAAUUAUUUGUUUCUUCUUAUUCUAUAUAAUUAAGAUAAAGACAAUAAUUAUUAAAAAAUAAUAAUAAUCUAAUAUUGAGAGCUUAUUAUAUUGUAUCAUUUAACCACCCACAUAAGGUGAAUAGGUAGUCUUUUUAAUUUUAUCCCAAAAUCAAAUUUUUUAUUUUUUAUUUUUAUUUUUUUUGCCUAAAAUACCAUCCACAAAGUCUCCUAAAAAAUUGCAAACGGAAAAUCACAAGUUAGAGAUCACAUAGUUAUAAUCCAUUAAUUAUAAAGAAUUAGAUGUACAAAUUUACAUGGUUGUUACUACUUUCUAAGACUUACACGUGAACUCAUGUCCGCAAUGCAAUAUAUUCAUGUUAUUUGGUGAACCCCCUCAAUACCUUAAGGGGAUACACUCCUCCGUAACGAAUCUAAAAAUAGACAUAAAUUGAUUUGAGAGUUUUAAAUACAAGAGUAAUGACUUUUAGCCUUAAUAUGUGUCAAAAAGAAAAAGAAAAAUGUAAGACAUAUAUAUACAAGUGAACCCUAGAUGGCUUUCAAUAAGAGUUUGAUAACUUAAUUUUCCAAUAUAUAUAUAUAUAUAUAUAUAUAUAUAUAUAUAUAUACAAAUUUGCAAUUUGAUGAAAAUUAAAAACCUUGCAAAGUAUCAAAACUAGGCAAUUUAAGGCUUGAAUGCUUAAGCGUCUUUGAAGUGCACUUGAACACUCCUAACACUUGAGCUCUCGACAUUAAUAUAAAUACUAUUUAUAAAUUAAAAAUGCUCAAUUUUCAAUUCCUUAACGUCCACCUUAUGUCUUUUUAAAAGCCAUUACCCUUUUUGUAACUUAUGAUACUUACCCAUGCUAACCCGAGGGUGAUUCUACUACAACUUUGAGUUUGGUAAAAGUUGUAUAAGUCAUAGGAAGAUAUAUAGUCUUGAACCUGGAUAAAUGGAAAAAUUAUUAUUAACUUAAUCUAGCUAAACUAAUGAGAGCUUAUAAUCUUGUAUCAUCAAACUACCUAGAGGGGUGAAUAAGUAGUCUCUUUAAGUUUAGCCCAAAAAUCUUUUUAUUUUUUAUUUCAAGCUCUUUUAUUAGGAUAUAAUUAAUGAAUAAAAAAAAAACAUUCAAUUGCACAAAGGAAUGCGCAAUUUACAUAAAAAAAUCACCCAUAAAACCUUCCAACGAAUACGAGUAUUAUUGACUAGUUUUAAAAUUUCAUAAUAAUUAUUAUAGCAAUUAAAAUUCUCAUAGUAGACCAAUGGAUACAAGACAUUUGUACUCACUAGAUAAGUUAGCUAUGUUGAUGGCAUAAGGCUUGUAUAAGGCACAAUAUGCUCAAAUCAUUUUCUUCUUUGUAGUUGAUUGGAUUUUUAUAAUAGACCAAAGAAAAAUAUUGUUUGCACAAUUGAAGGCAUGUCACCUUCAUUUUCUUCAUAUUUUCACUUUAUGUAUAAGACAUUUGUAUUGAUUGUGUAACAUAGUUGUAGUAAUGGUAUAAGAGUAUGAAUAAGGCAUCCUAUUGUUAAUAUAUUGCAAUUCUUUCUUUUUUGGCAUUUGAUUGAAUUGAAUUGAAUUUCAUAACAAAUCAAUAUAAAACAUUGUUUCAAUAAUUGAACACAUCACCUUUAUUUUCUUUGUAUUUGCACAUGGUAUAUAAGAUAUUUGUACUAAUUAUAUAUAACAAUUAUGCUGAUAGUGUAAGGCCAACCUAUUCAUUUCUGCCAUUUGGUUGGAUUUCAUGAUAGACCAAUCAAAAAUAUUUUUGGCACAAUUGAACACAUGCUCCCUUCAUUGUCUUCACAUUUGUGCAAAGCAUUUGUAUAGAUUAUAUAUAUAAGGCUAUUGUGUUGAUGGUACAAGGCAUCCUGAUGUGAAUAUAUUCCAGUCCUUUCCCUUUCAACAUUUGAUUGGAUUUCAUAAUAGACCAAUAAAAAAAUUGUUGCCAUAAUUGAAUACAUAUCCCUUUUUUUCACAUUUACAUGUUAUUCACAAGGUAUUUGUAUUGAUUGUACAAUGUCAAUGUGUUAAUGGUACAAGGUUUAUAUAGGUCAUCCUCUUAUUAACAUAUUUUAGUCUUUUGUUUGUAUAAUUGAACAAAUGUCACUUUCAUUUUCUUCCUAUGUACAUAUUAUGUAUAAGAUAUUUAUAUUAAUUAUACAAGAUAAUGGAUCUGACGGUAUAAGACUUAUAUAAAAUAUUUUAUUGUAAAUAUCCUCGUGAAACUUUUUCUUCUUUGUGAAACCCCUUUUCCCAUGUAAAGUUAUUUUUGCCCACCCGAAUCAGUCCUCUUAUUGAAAGAAGUCACCCGUAUUUAUAAGUAAGUUAGGGAAUUAAAUUUUAGAAUUCUCUAAAAUUUAGUUGUUUGAUUCAAAGAAUUUGGUUUUUUGAUUUUUAACAAUUUGUCUUCUUCAUUAAGGAAAUUUAUUAACAAGAGAAUAUUUAUUUAUUCUUUAUCCUCUUUUAACUUCAUUUCCUUUAGAAAUUUGUUGACAAGAGAUAAUAUUUAUUUUGUUUUGUUUUGUUUUUUUAAUUCUCUUUAAUAGAAAAAUGAGAGAUUUGAUUUUAUCUGUAAGACAAGAUUUUGUAGUCUUUCAAAUUUUAUCAUGUAUUAUCUUUUUAAUACAUGUAAUGUGUUAGAUAUAGGACUUCUCACUUAUUGAUCCUAAAUUUUAUCGAAUUUGGGAGUCAUGUUUUUUGGAAGAUCAAUUUUCACUUAUCGAUCCUAAAUUUUGUUGAAUUGGGGAGUGAUAUUUUUUGGAAGAUCAAUUUAGUGAUAACUUAUUUCAUUAAAAAAUUUGAUGUCCACGUGAAAAAAAUUAAUAUUUUUUACCCAAAUUUAUUUUUUUCUUUUACUUUUAGAUAAAUCAAAUAAGAAAACUCAAAAGUCCUUUUAAGUUUUCAUUAUAAUUUUUGUUUUUAUAAAAAAAAUAUUAUUAUAAAACUUUGUUAAACCGAAUUAAAACUUUUACAUUUAUAUAUUGAUUUUUAAUAAUUUGCUUUGAAGGUAUUAAGUAUAAUUUGGGAGAACAUCUUAAGUAAUUAAAUAACAUACAAAUGUUAAAUCCAAUUUUAAAGGGUGUUUGUGGAAUUUCAAAUAUGACCCAUAUUAAUAUUUAAAGACCUUUUUGGAAAUGUUUUUCCUAAAUAUAAAAUAUAAAUUUCUAAAAAUAAAAAAAAAUCAGAAUUUAUCCUUUUUUAUUAAAAAAAUAUAUAUUUUUGAAAUAAAGUUCAUAAAAGAUAAAUUCGAUUUAUUAAACAAAAUAUUGAAAUUAAAAGUCAUCUUACGUAGUCGUAGACCCUAAAACUUUUUUCAUUAACAAUAUAAAAUCACCCCAUAAUAAAAAAUAAAAAAUAAAACCAUAAAAAAUCCUAUGGGUAAAACCAUUUCCACAAUGAUAAAAUCACCCCUGGUGUCAUUAAUCGUCCGAACGGCAACAGCCUAAGAAGAGAAGAGGGAAUCCGCAGAGGAGCCGCACAAAGAAAGCAGCGACGAUGUUUCUCCGGCGAAUUGCGCGGCCGCUGAUGGCGAAGGUGAAGGAGACCACUGGGAUCGUAGGACUGGACGUGGUCCCCAAUGCCCGUGAGGUCCUUAUAUCCCUCUAUACCAAAACCCUAAACGAGAUCCAGACCGUUCCCGAAGAUGAGGGCUAUCGUAAGGCUGUUGAGAGCUUCACGAGCCACCGCCUCAAGGUUUGCCAGGAGGAGGAGGACUGGGAGCAGAUCGAGAAGCGGUUGGGGUGUGGGCAAGUGGAGGAGCUCAUCGAGGAAGCGCAGGACGAGCUCAAGCUCCUCUCCAUGUUGAACGGUGAGUACAAUUAUGUGAAAUGUUUGAUUUUUUAUUUCGUUUUGGUUUGUAUUGUUGGUAUUGUUUGUCUGUUUGGUUGCUGGGAAAUUGGAGGAAAUGAAGAAAAAGGAGUCCUGACUGUUGUGUUGAUGAUGAGAAAUGAUACUUGUGUGAGAUUAGGGUUUGGUGGUUCUUUUAUGUUUUGUGGAAAAUAAUGAAAAGGGAGAGGUUAGAUGUUAGUUCCUUACGUUUUCCUGCAUUUUCUUGGCAACCAAAUUGAGCGUUAAUAUUUUUGGGGUUCCCCUUCUUUUCCAUUGGAUUUGAAUUAUGUCUGUUUGGUUGAUCAGAAAAUGGGGGAUAAUAGACAAGUAGGACUUUAAAUGGUAUUUUCUUUGUUGCAUUUUCUUCGCAACCAACUGGAGUUUUAAUUUGUUGAGGGAUCUUUUUUUCCCCCCCUGGGAUUUUAAGUGUGCAUUGUUUUGGUUGAUGAGAAAAGGAGAGUAGAGGAGAAUAAAAAUUGGAAAUUUUAUUAGGCAUUCUCCAAUAUUGAAAGAUUCCUAACACUGGCUUUCUUUCCUUGUGAUUUCUUGCGGUGUUGAAAGGCGCUGGGUUGUGCCGAUAGACUAAACAAACACCAGUUUUUUCCUUACUCUUUUGGACUUAACCUGCCUUUGGUUGCUGAGAAGUACGAGAGACAAGUAAUAGAAAAUGUAGCUUGAAUUUUUUGUUGUUUGAAACACCUUACAAAACAAAAGUCUCAACUUAAUUCUGCCUAAUACAACUUUUUGGUUUGUUCAGGGUAACUUUAAUUUUUCUGACCAAUUAAGAAUCAACAUUUCAUUUUCUUUUGAUUCUCUUUUUCAGUGACUGAAUCUGAUGUACUCAAAGGAUAGGACUAGAACCAGAUGAAAAAGUAGCCAUCUUGAAAUAGAAAUGUUCUUUGGCCCAUUUGGUUAUUGAGGAGAUUGUAGGAAAAGGAAUGAAACUAAAACGUUGAACUGCAGAGUUUUAUAUUACUUAGGAACAAUGGAAACCAAAAUCUUCUACAAUGCUGUUAACCCUAGCCCACUUCAACUAUUUGACUUAGUUGACUCUAGUCAUUUAAUCUCCAAGAAGCAUUAAUGAAAAGGGAAGCUAUAAAUUUCAAAUCUUAUUUUUCGGUUUUUGUUGUCUUUUAUUUUACUUGAAAGUUAGAAAUCGUUGCAUGAGUACUUCGUGACAGGAGAUGUUAUGCCAACAUGAAUCAUAUGGCAUAUGUUCUUCACUGCUUCAUCUUUUGGAGUAUUAGGUUGUAUACAUUUUUAGAGGUUUAGAGACUAUGUUUAUAUUCAUGAUUGUUAGAGCUUAAUUGAUCUUAUCAUCUUAUAAAAAAGUAGAGCCUAAUUUGUGUGACUUUCCUCGUGUUAAGAUUGAUAAUUACAUUUUUCAAGGCUUCCAAGAUUCCUGGCAAUGCUGAGUCGUGUUCUCAUUUUGGAUAAUUCUAUAGCUCUGGUGUUUAGUUUUUUAACUAAUCUCAAAUCAAUUUCUUCUCCCAUGCUAUUCUCAGUGAAAUUCAUGAAAUGUGGAUAGUCUUUAAUCUGAUGAACAUACUAUGGAAUAGCUUGUUCUGAGCAUAAAGAUUUACCACCACUCAUGAUGCUUGUUGUAAAGUGGAUUAUCUGAUUGCUCUGCCAUAUAAUAGUCUGACCCAAGGGGUGAUCUAGAGUUAAUGCAACUUAUGUAAAUUCUGAGUCAUGCAUGGAUGCUAGUUUGUUAACAUUGAUUAUUUUGGGAGUUUUGGCAUUGAAAAGGUUUGUUCCUAUGGUAAAAUAUGAAUUUCUUCAAAAACAGUGAUACCAAGGAUUAGCAGCAACACAAGCAUUUAAAUCCGGGUGCAUAAAUGGUCUAAAAUCCAUAAACACGGUUGAAUAAAAUAGGUGAACUUACAUUACAUUUACUUCAUCUCACAUGAUGGCCCACUGCUUGCUAGUGCCCUUGAUCGGCUGUCUGUUACCAUUCUAUCUAUAAAAAUCUUCCACCUCUCCUCUCUUUUGUUCAUACUUUUUCUAAUGUAAUAUUGUUUCUUUGAAUAAGGAAGCCAUGUCCAUCCUUGUCUUAUACUGGCUCUUGGAAUGUAUGUAGGUAUAGGUAUUGAGAAGUGAUGUAUAUUUGUUGGAUAGAGCAGUGCGAAUUAUUUCCUUCUGAUUAUACUAUAUUUGUUGGAUAAUAAUUUCAGAAAGUUUUUAUUUUAGGCACUGUGAAUGUAUGAAAUUACAAUUUUACUUUUGAGAUCAGAUGUAAAGGGGUUUGAACUUGUGGAAAAAAGUUUAUUGAGAUGGUAACAAUAAAUGAACAAAUCCUGUUCUGCAAGCAUCUGAACCUCUGUAACAUAUGGAAGCCUAGGCAAUUGUUUUUUGCCUGAAUAACCUUGGCCAAAUGUAGUUCUAGGGAUCUAAAUGGUUGCUCUAGUCCCUGGACUAGUUUAUCCCAUUAUUCCGUUGGUCCAAUGGAGUGAAACCCCCAAACUAAUUCUAGGUGAAGCUCGGCUCUAGUGUUGGAACCAUAUGGCUUGUUCUUGUCUUAAAAGAACAUCAAACAUUAAAAGUGACCAGAUUUGUUAAUAAUGUCUUUUUUAUAUUGGAAUGCAGAGUGGGAUCCAUGGGGUGUUCCCGACGACUAUGAAUGCGAGGUUAUCGAGAAUGAUGCUCCAAUUCCAAAGCAUGUUCCUCAGCAUCGACCAGGUCCUCUCCCAGAGGAGUUCUACAAUACACUGGAGGCUGUUACUCCUCACCCAGAGAAGGAUACGCCUGCAGGCACCUCUAGUGAGUCACAGCCAAAGGAAUAAAAGUAUGUUGCUGGGCUUGUUUUUGAUUUGCAUCAAGAAACAUCAUAUUUAAAAGAUGAAUCAAUGUCCAUUUUUCUGUAUCCUCUUGUUGAUGUUUGCUAUCUCGCUGUAUGUUUGUCACUGGAUUCUACAGUGUACAACUUAUGGCACACAAGCUUGAACCAUUCAGUUAAUAAUCUCUAGUUGAGCUGGCUUUAUUCAAGAAUUCUCCUCUCAUUCUUUUUUUCCUUCAUUAUUCCUUGUGAAAUUUUCUGUUGUCAUAUGAUCCAGUUCCAUUGCUCUCUAUGGCUAAUAAGGAGAUCAUUCAUCAGGAGAGAAGUGUAGUUCAUUUGUAGAAUAAGAUUGAAGGAUAAAAUGUAUUUAACCCUUAUAAGAACACAUUUUAAUUAUUUUCAGUUAUUCUUACUUAUUUUCUAGGGUUUGUAUUGAAAGAAUAAUCCUAUAAAUUUUAAAAAAUAAAAUAUUGUGGAUAAAAAUUAUUUUUAAAAAAUAUUUGGAAAUAUAGAACAGAGGCCGGGAAUGAAACAUUCCACUUCCCAAACAAACUUUUACUUUAGAAAAAAAAAAAAUCCUAUUUGGGGAGACAUUCCCAAACAUAUCCUGAUUUUCCCUGUUUGAAAAACUACCAAUAGCCUCUACAUGAGCACUCACCUUUCUUGAAGGAAUGGAAGCGGUUCCCAUCCCUCACAAUGAUCUCUCUAUCAACCAACCUAGUCACGUUCAUUAUAAAGUCAUGACAAUCUCUGCAAAUGCGAAUGUUCUUAAUAAUGCGUAUUGGAGCUUUUGGUGGUGUACUGAUAAGGCCGAAUGCAACAGCCAACUUCUCACUGUGAUGGGCCAAAGCUCUAUUUUCUUGAUACCAAAUUCCCUGAUUCCUAAACUGAGCUAUCAGUGAUUCAAUCUUUUCAUGAAUCUUACCUAUCUGUGGAUGUGAUGUAUCUCCUGCUGUGAAGAGAUGAACCAUGUUCCUCUCCUCCAUCCAGCUCUGACCAGGAUUCUUCCUCACGCCUCUCUCCCUCAUCAUCCUCCGAGUUUUCUCCCCUAGCUCAGACCGGCCAGAAUCAUCAUACAGGUUAGCAAGCAGUACAUAGAAUGCUGGAUCAGAAGGGUCGAGCUCGAGGCCUUGUCUUGCCAUAUGUUCCCCAAGAGGUAUGUUCCCAUGUAGUUUGCAGGCACCCAAUAGUGUUUUGUAGAUCAAUGCAUCUGGUUUGAAAGGCAUGGUUUCUAUUACAUUCAUGGCCUCCUCUAGCCGGCCUGCUCGACCAAGGAGAUCAACUAAACAAACAUAGUGAUCUAGUUGUGGUCUGAUACCAUGUUUUUCUCUCAUAGAUUGGAAAUAGUCCAACCCCAUAUCAACCAAGCCGCCAUGACUGCAAGCGUAAAGUACUAACAAGCAUGUAAUCUGAUCUGGUUCAACUCCAGCUAACCUCAUAUCUUCAAAGGCAGAUAAGGCAGAUGAGACAUGCCCAUUUGAUGCCAAUCCAAAUAUUAACCCAUUCCAUGAUACGGCAUCCGGCUCAGUAAUUUCCAGAAAAGAUCUAUGUGCAUCAUGUAUGCAUCCACAUUUCCCAUACAAGUCAACCAGGCCAUUUGAGACUGAAAUCCAGCUGCCUAAGCCAGACUUGACAGAGUAACAGUGAAGCUGCUUUCCAGUUUCCAUUAUCGGUAUACCUGCUGCUGCGGAUAAGAAGCUUGCGAGACUGAAUCCAUCCAUUCUAACAUCAUCCUUGUUCAUGUGAGUGAUGAUGUUUAAUGCCAUUUCAUGAUUACCUGUCUGAUUUAUUCUUGUGGCUAAGCUUGUGUAUGUGAUGACAUCUCUAUGCUUCAUCAUACUGGUCACAUGCCAUGCAUCAUCCACCAUCCCCAAUCCAGCAUAAGCAUCUACAAGAGCAUUGCCAACGACUACAUCAUUAUCCGCAUUGUUUUUAAUUAUAUACCCGUGAAGCUUCCUUGUUUGAGUUAGAGACUUUAUUGUUCCACAAGCUCCAAGGAUAGUAGAGAGCGUAAAGGAAUUUGGUCGCACCCCUACACCUUGCAUUGCUCCAAACACCUUAAUCGAUUCUUCCUCAAGUCCAUGUUCAGAAAAACCAGCAAUCAGAGAGGUCCAAGAGAUGACAUUGGGUGAUGCUAUCCCUCUAAAUGCCCUCACAGCAUCUUCUAUCAUGUUGGAACAUUUCAUAUACAUGUCGACAAGUGAAUUUCCAACAGAGACAUCAUUCUCCAAUCCAGCCAUGACAACCCUUGAGUGAAUCUGUUUACCCAAGUCCAGUGCCAGGAUUGAUGAACAAGCAUUCAGGAUACCAGAAUAGGUAAAAUUAUUCGGUACAACUCCAGAGGUCUCCAUCUCAUGAAAUGCAGUGAUAGCCUCCCUGAACUUCAAGCUUUGAGUGAAACCAGAGAUGAUGGCAGUCCACAAAAAUACAUCAUAUUCUAGAGUCAGUUUUGAAACCUUGACAGCAUCCUCUAUGCUCUGGCAUUUACAGUACAUAUCUACAAGGGCUGUCUUCAAAACCAAAUUCAGUUCAAUCCGCCACAUCAUCAAAUGGGCGUGCACUAAUUUCCCAUAAUUCAAACCAAGAAAACUGGAUGCAGCCAAAAGCUUCACAAAGGUAAACUCAUUUGGAGCAACCCCAGUUUGGAUCAUUCGGUGAUAAAGUUGUAAAGCUUGACUCCAACUCCCUGCUUCAACAAAGGAAGACACCAUCAUAGUCCAAGAAACAAUAUCCCCAUUGUUCAUAUACUCAAAUACUCUGUAUGCUUCUUGAGUACACCCACAUUUGGAGUAAAAAUCAAUCAAAGCACUGCCUAAAACCGGAUUUGAAUCAAACCCAGACUUUGUCACAAGCGCCUGAAAUCGAGUCCCAUGAUUGAAUUCCCUCAAAGCAGAACACGACCGCAAUGCAGUCGAGAGCGUAAACUCAUUUGGGUAUUCCCCAGAAAUCAACAUUGAGUCAAACAGUUCAAGAGCCUCUUCAUGGUUUCCAAUUUUCCCAUAAGCGGACAUGAGCAUUGUCCAAGACGCAACAUCUCUACAAGGCAUUUCAUCGAACAAUUGGCGUGCUUCUGCCACUCCAAAACACUUUCCAUAUAGAGACAACAGAUUGUUACUAAGAAACAUGUCUUCUUGAAAACCCAUUUUGAUAAUGGGACUGUGAAUGCAAAUCCCAUCUCGUACGGACCUUGAGUUGCAGAAUGAGACAAUGUCUUUGAGGAGUGAGUACUCAAUUUUGCUGGGUAUCUUGGAUACAGUUGUUCUCCAUAUCAUAUCUCUCUGCGUGGUCACCGGCACCGUCUCCGAUCAGUUACUCUCCGCCGGAGGAAGCAGGAAGACGGCUGGUGACGAGCAAGAGUACGGAGUUUCUGUUUUCAAAAAUUGAGAAAAAUGAAAACGGUACAGAAAAGGCGUUGGCGGGGAUGCCUUCUAGAAACGGAGAAAACACACAAACGGAGUAUGUUUUAAGGAAAAUGCAGAAUAAAGAUGAUAAUAUUAGAAUUUUUUUUUAAAAAAAUAUUUACUUACUAGCACAAAUCUAAUAAGUUGAAUUAAUAAAAUAAAAAUAAUUUUAAUUUUUAGAUUUUAUUCAAUAAUUUUAUUUACAUUUUUCAAUUUGUAUAAUUUUUAGAUUAUUUAACAUUUUGAAUUGAAUCUCAUAAUAAUUCUUGUUGGCAAUUAUGUAUGAUAAUAUUUAUAUAUGAAAAAUAUUUUUCUUCUUUAUAGUCUUUUUCUACCAAAUGUGGGGAAUUGUAUUGUAUUGUAUUCCCGUUCAUAGUGUGUAUAUUGUGAAGAAAAUUCUUUGAUUUUUUUCUUUGUUUUUUUCAAUCUAAAUUUUGGUGGUUUGACCAAGUCAUUAUUAUCGGAUUUAAAUGUCAAUACCAUAGAAUGCAUUAAUAGCUUUCUAUUAGAAUGAUAGAAUCCAAUUCUGCUAGAUACUAAAUAUAAGUAAACAUAGCCUAUAAAGUAAAGGAUAACUGAAUUGAAGGAAACAAAUGAUUCUAAAAAGGAUUAUUCAUCUUCCUAGUCUUCGAUACAAGAAAGGAAUUUUCUUAGAUACUAUCGGAAAAUGAAAUGCAUAACUACGACAACUCCUCCAUGAAGGAGGUUCUUGACCUAAAUUAACAUUUUACAAAACUUAACGACUUAAAAUAACUUUAAAUUUUGCUUGAAUUAUUAAUUAAUUUUUAUUUUAAAUAUUAAAAUCAUUUAGUAAAACUCACUUAAUAUUUUUUUUUUAAAAUUAUUAAGUUGACUUGUAUACCCUCGUUGACAUGAAGGAAAAAAUCAUUAACCAAUUACCUUCAUUGAAUAAGGGAUGGUACUCAUUGAAUCAAUGAUGAUCAAUGAAAUUUAUAGAAGGAACCCAACAAAGAUUUUGUAAUAAGGUUGUUCCCUAUCUUUUUAAAAUUUCAAUUUUUCUUAAAGGCAUGUUUGGUUUCUAAAAAAAUUUAUGAAAAAUAUAAAAAAUCAAAUAUAAUUUAAAUUAGAUAUGAACUUAUAUAUUUUAAAAUUAUUUAAUCUUUAUAUAUAAAAAUUAAAACAAGCCAAAUGAGUUUAAAAUAACAUAUAAAAUAAUUUAUUAAUUUUAAUUUUUUCCAAAAUUUUCAUCUUUAUUUUGUUUUCCCUCAUAUUUUGCCUCAAAUUUUACAGGAACUAAACAUAACCUAAAAUUCUCUAAUCAAUUUUUUUUUCCUCUUAAGUUGGUAAAAAAUAUUUCUAAAAAUAUAUUUUUUAUUUUGAAUGUCUUUUAAAAGAUAUUAUUAUUAUCAUCUAAUUGCUAUUCGUAACACAAUUUUUACUAAUGUACAAAUUUUCUUGAAAACAUCAACAAAUUGUAUUUAUAUAAAAACCAAAAUUAUAAUAUAAUUUUAAUCUACUUAGCUGUGGUUUGUCAUUAUCCUUCUUUUUAUAAUCUAAUCUGACAAAAAAGAAAAAAAAAAAAAGGAGGCUUAACCUUUGUGAUGGACCCAUUGUCAUCUUAAUACCAAAUAAAGAAUCUUUGUCCUAGCUGGACACUAAAUUUUAAUUAUUUUAGAUUAAAUUAGGGAUCCCAAAGUUCUAUGCAUACAGCUAUGAAACUUAAAUUAGAAUAUUUUCCAUACGAAAGCUUCUUCCAUCCAAUUUCCCUUAAGAAUAAUUGAAAAAUUCUUAAACCCUAACACACGAAUGAAAUAUUCCAAUUUAAAAAGAUCAAAAGUGCAUAUACUUGAGUAAAAAAAAAAAAAAAAAAAAAAAAAGGACAAAAAGGCAAAAUUUGAAAUUGCCUUACCAUUUCAUCCCUAUUUUAAGAUUUGAUUAAGUUUUUUCGAAGUUAAUUUGUUAAUAAAUAUAGUUAUAGAAUCUGUUUAACGAUCAUUCUUAGAAGGAUUUUUAACUUUAAAAAAUAUUUUUUUGAAAAAUUAAAUAACAAAACUUAUAAAUAUUUUUAAAAAAUUUAAAAAUUACUUAAAAAAUUACUCACUUGAUUUUUUUUUAAAUAUUUUUAGAGAAAACACUUUUAAUAAAAACACUUCCAAACACAUUCUUACUUUUUUUUUUAAAGUGUCUAAAUUUUAUUAUGUGUUUUCAAUUAUUUAAAUUGUAUCUUCCAUCCAUAUUGAUUUGAAACUUUAAAAUUUUCCUAUUUAAUAUAGAAUUAUCUUAUAAUAUAAAAGAUUUUAUAAUAUAUAUAUAUAUAUAUUUAUUUAUUUAUUUAUUUAUUUAUUUAUUUUAUAAUAGAGAAACCUUUUAUGAUCGAAUAUUUGAGGUGUUGAUUGUCCUGUAAUAAUUAGGGUUCCCAUAAAUUUAGGUAUCAUUAGUGAUACUAUUCAAAUCCAGAACUAUGUACUAUUUACUAGGGUCAUAUUGUCUAGUGUUUACUUUGACUAAUUGGACUACCGGGUAAAUGUCUUUUUUAAAUAUUAAUUAACAUUUUUAUAGUUAUUGAUUAGGGUUUUAAUAAAUAAAAAGUUGGGAAAAAAGAAACGGAGAGUUAAGAAUUUUUUCUAAAAAGAUAUUAUUAUUUUUGGCAAACACGACGUUACUUAGAUCUGCUCUUUCGUUUGUCUUUCUCAUUUAUUUAUUUAUUUAUUUUUUUUUUCUGACUUUUCAAACGAUGUGGGCGUGAAUGGUAGAAAGGUCGGUGUGCUUAAUAAUUGUCUUCCUCGGAAGCCGACGACGACGAGUGGGGACACGGUCGAGGGCAAAAACGGGUUUCUGCUAUUUUUAGAAAAAAAAAAUUGUUAUUGUAAUUCAAUAACGACUUGAGGGUAGACUUGAGCGGCUUUAUAAAGCACAUCAAGUGGAGCUCCAAUCAGUGCUCUCCGAUUCCCUAAUUCAACAAAUUUUAUACUUUUGUGUUCUAGCUCCUUCUGGAGACUUCAUCUCCAAUGGCGUCCGAUCUGGAGAUCAGAGCCGGCAAGGCCUUCAUCGACGACCACUUUGAACUCGCCGUUGACCUGUACACUCAGGCCAUCGAAAUAAACCCUAAUCAUGCCGAGCUCUAUGUUGAACGAUCUCAGGCCAACAUCAAACUCAACAACUUCACUGGUAUCGAUCAAUCACUCUUCUGUUUGGCUUUCCAGAAAGUCCGGGAUAUUUAAUUUUGCGUUUCGUGUUGUUGUGUUGGUAUUGGCUUUGAUUGAUUUUAGUUGUUGUGAUGGCUGUCUCUGUUUUAUCUGGUUGUUUUUGGUGUGGUGUGCCUGGAUCGUGUGGCUUGGUUGCUGAGAGGACAAGGGACAAGAGAGAGGGGAAAAUUGUGAGUUUUAGGGCAGGGUUGUGCUUGUUGUCUUGGCAUAGGUUUGGUUCUUUUAAGAAGAGGAGGAGGAAAAGCUUUGCUUGGUUGCUAAAAGUUGUUAGAAGGAUAUAUCUAUUUUUCCUUUAGAACUAUUUUUCAGAAUUAAGCGAGAAAGGGAGAAUUUUGUAUUGAUGAUGCGUUGGAUAUAAAGCCCCAAAAAAUCCAAUGCGAUUCUCUGUAUUCUCUUCCAACUAGGAUAGUUUUGUCACUCCAGGCAUAGUUUCGAAGAAAGAAGGAUUUGUCAAAAAUUAGGAAUUCAAUUCUGGGAAAAAAUAAAAAGGAAGUUCUGGGGAUUUUUGGAACGGCUAGAAGCACUUGAUCCAACUUGAAACGCAGGAGAGGUAUGCUCUCAUUAGGAGUUAGAAGUAAACUAACUAACAAUCGCUUUUCUGAUUUGAGGGCGAAAGAAAGAGAAUUGACAAAAAAGCAUAAAACUUAAAGGGGCUAGAGAAUAGCUCUUUAUCUCCUUGAUUUGGAAAGAAAGGGUUUUCAUUGUAAAUACUAGCACUAAAAAUCAAUUCAUUUCAGUUUCUUUGUUCCUGUGCUCCUGCUUCCAAUUAUUGUCCUACCAAUUCUUGCAAUUUAAUUGAAUAGGUGUACACAUUUUGUUGGUUGCAUCAUGUUUGAUUCAUAUGGAACUCAUUUGGAACUUAACCAAGGCUUGAAUAAGUCAUGUUUGGUGAACUGAGGUUCCAACGAGGAAUAAACCCCAUGUCUCAAGUUCUUUGUGAUAUAGUUUCUCUACUCGUCAUUUUUGACUAUCCCAACCAAAUAAAUUUUUAAAAUUGUUGUCCCUUCUUACUCACGUAUGUGUUUCCUAAUAAAAACACGAGAUUUUAUUGUGUAUUAUUAUUUUUCCCUUUGCUAGGUAGGCAAAUUAUUAUUAAGAACGCCUAUCUGUUUUUUAUUAUUGUUUUUGAAAACUUAUUCUUGGAUCAUCAUUUUUUCUAUUUAACAAAAGCAAACUUGCUUUCAGGUUUUCCUUUUUUUGUUGCUUGAGAUUGAAAAAAGAUGUUAAAUUCAGUAGAGCCAUACGCUUAGUUCAGUGGAGAAUGCGUGGAAUUUACUUCUAUUGACAUGAUGAACCUACAUUACGUUUCAGUCUUUUUGAGAAAAUUGAGGACCAAAAAAAAAAAAGAAGGCUACUAUAUUUGUCUUGUUUGUUGUUUUUGUUAUUCCUAUUUGAUGAGAAAAUCGUAGGAACUAAAAGACCACUUUGAGUCUAUUUGUUUUGUUUCUUUGAUAUUGAAAGCAAUGGAAUACCAAUCCUUGGGCUUUAUUUGUAAAGUCUCUAUUCUUUGAUAAUCGAAGCCCCACACCUGUAUUCUAACUUCUCCUUAGACAAUAUCAAAUUGAACCACCAUGUUUCCAUAGAGCUUGAAUUUUAUUCUAUUUCUUUUACCUUUGGUUGGUUGUUGAAAAAAUUAAGGAAAAGGAAGAGAUGAAGGCAGGCUUAUGACUAUGUAUAUUUAUUCAUAUUUAUGGAGUUUUUAUUUUGUCUUGAUUUAUGGUACCAUUCACAUUUUUGCACAACAUGCAAAUCAAGUUCUCCUUAUGAGAGGCUGGUGGCUAACUUUUUCAAUUUUUUGAGCAGAGGCUGUUGCUGAUGCAAACAGAGCAAUUGAGUUGGACCCAUCAAUGUCUAAAGCAUUCUUGCGGAAAGGGUAAGAGCCUUGGACUUUGCAAAUUGAUAUGUAUAAUUAUUUUGUCAUCAGUGAUGGUGCCAAUUCAUUCAGCAGCAUUUGACAUAUGCUUUCAGUGUAAUUAGCUACUGCUAGAGUUUUAUUAAAUUCAGCACUUGGGCAGUCUUAUAUAUGUAAAGUGAAAGCACCUGAUCAUCUAUUUUGAGGGAGGAAGGAUGGUGUGGAGGUCUAUUUUAUUAAUUGUAGCAUAAAUAUUUAUAUUGUGUUUAUUCAUUUUGAUUAGAAUGUUUGUGAAAUUAUCUGAUUCUAUAUGAUACUUCUACAUAUUUUGGAGGAGAAAGUUUUCUUAAUGUAGCUUAAUGGAUGGAAGUUAUUUUAUUUUUUAAAUUACUUUGUGUAUUUUGCAGGUUUUGCUAUAAGCAGCAUUUUGAUCUUAUUAAAAUGCAUGUUCACAUUUUUUCCCCCUUGUAGACAUGAAUUGACUCGAUGGAAAACAUUAUAUUUCUCAUGGGUUUUCUUGACUUGUAAGUUUUAAGUGUUAGAGGUGGUCAGUGUGCCCUCAUAAUUUCUUCUAGAGGUUUUCAUAAAGUUUUUUGAUUGAAGAAUGUAAAACUAGGGAUCAUAUAUGAUCUCUCAACAAAGAAAUUCAACCAACGUAUGCAUGGUCCUAAGGUUGGGUUCAGAGACUUUAAAAAUAUGAUCCUAAAAGAUUAACAGCUUGAAAAAUAUAUGAUUUGUUUUUGGCAGAUUUGGCCAUCUUAGACUUGUUUGCAGUUUAUAAUUACUUUAUUAAGCUUGGCUUAUGGUUGAUGGCCUUCUUUUUUUUUAGUAAUCCACUUUCUCUCAAUGUCAGUUUCAAUAUGUGUUUGGGACAUUGAAAGUUCAUUAUAAAGUUAGUAGGAAGGAUUGGAGGGCAACUCCAAUUUGUUUCCUGUGGUGUAUUUGAAAGGAGGAGGAGGAGGAAACUUGUGAAGGGUUAGAUUUAUCAUUCUGCAAGUAGACAAGAAUUGUAAUAAGGUUAUAGUUUGUGCUUAUGUAAGAAUCAUUUUCAGAAUAGCUUCUUUCUCAAUGUUAUUUGAAAAUUGAGAGAUGGUUGUUUUUGCUUCCUUUUCCAUGUAAGUAACUACUUCGUGUAAGUUGUAAGAUCUGAAGAAGUGUGGCAGGAUUUUUUGGAGGUUGCAUUGUUUUUCUUAUUUUGAUGAGUUAGUCAUAGUAGGGUGCAUGGUCUUGCUAUGUUUCACAAGUAGUUACAUCAUGCAUUAGUGUUAUUGGUUCUUCAUUCACUCGUCAUUGGUUGCCUUGUUUUGCAAUUUAUAGCCCACUUAAUUUGUGCCCUGGCCCUUGGCUAUUGUAUACUGUUACCUGCUCUGAAUCACUGUUGUCUUAUGUUUUUACCUUUUUUAGCAGUCCUCUUUUAGCACUUCCCCAGUAAUUUCAUUUAAUUCAUUUUUUUUUUGUUUCACAGCACUGCAUGUAUGAAGCUUGAGGAAUAUCAAACUGCUAAGGCAGCCUUCGAAACAGGGGCUUCCUUGGCACCGGGAGAUUCAAGAUUCACUAAUUUGAUAAAAGAAUGCGAAGAGUGCAUUGCAGGUCAAUUUUUGGCUAUAACCUGAUCCUAUGGUGCUAAAAUAUAUGAGAUUAUAUUAUAGUCGAAUUCAAUAUACUCUAUUUUCAUUAAAAAUAAUUUGGAUCUUCUGUGAUGUACUUUUUUGUUUUUUAUCAUAUGAUAUGUGUUAUAUAUAUAUGUGUGUGUGUGUAUAUAUAUAUAUUUAUUUAUUUUUAUUGUUUUAAUAGUCUCAUGAUGCAUGACCAAGAUCUUGUGGUGCGUAGAGAUCUAUUCAGUCACAGACAGUGGCAGUAUGUUUGGGUUUUCAUUUCUGCUGAACUCUGUCUGCACCAUUGUAGUUCAAGAUAAAAUAUGUUAGUUUACAGUCUAGUGCUAAUUUAAAGAUGAAUUUUUCAUAUUUGUGAAUAAAAAUUUGAGCUGUAGUUGGAUUAAAAUGUAAUGGAACUCAAAUAAUGUUAUGUCUAUGCUUCUGGAUGCCUUAAUGGUUGACUGGCAAGCCCUUUGGAAAAGACAUUAUUCCAUAUGUCUGUGGGAAAUGCUUCUAGUGGAUUUUUUGGUAUCCUAUAUACAGGUUGGUUAACCUAUAAUCAGUCUAUAUACGAUUUACUGGUUCUGUUGUUUGUAUUCAACGCGACCAAUCUCUACUACUUUUUUCCAAGGAUGGGAAUAUACUUUCUGUUUUUUGGUUGAUCUUUUGAAUAAGUUUUUAUUUUUAUUCCUUAUUUUUUGUGCUUAGACUUGAAUGCAUUAGUAGCCAAGUAUUACUGAAUUGUUUGUUUCUCCUAUUUAUCAUUGGGAGGACUGUAAAAGUAAUGCUUAACAUGUAAUUUUUAUUUGCAUUCUGUGCAAUAUUUGUAUGUUUUGGGUGCAUAUUGAAAAAGUUAUCAUCUAUGUUGUGUUUGAAUUAUUCAUAGCAUCUUUUACCGGAUGAUAAAUGGGGCCAGUUUCCUCUCAUCUGUGGCUUUAGGCAGCUUUCGGUUGAGAUUGUCAAGAACCUAGUUAGCUCAAAUAGGAAUAGGAAAAUGAAUAAAAUUCAAUUAGCUUAUACUUCUCUGUUACUUGAAUAGGAAAUAUGAUGUGUAUAGCAUAACUGUUGAUGCAUCUGAUACUUUAUGCCAGAGAAAGAUCACUCCUUUUUCUUGGCAAUGGUUGUCACUGUUUUACGUUUUUCUGGUUGUCAUCAUUUUACUUUUUGCAGCAGAGUGAUUAUUUUGAUAGAAAAAAAGGGAGGAAAAGGGGAAAAAACUUGUUAAGGAUAUGAAUGAAAUUCUCGGUUGGGGAUCCAAGUAGCUUUAUAAGCCCCCAUCAAUGUGGUUCCUCAAGCCCAACUAAACACACCUGGCCCGGUAGACAAGCAGCCUGUUUUGGAAAUUUAAUCAUUGAAAUUGGGACUUUGUGUGGUUGGGUGCUUUUGAAAUUUUGUAGUUAUGUUACGAGGUAAGAAUUAAAUAAUAACUAGUAGGUAAGUAUUGAAGAAAACCCGUUGAGGGUGGGGUUCCUUUUGCACCUCCGUUGUUGGCAGCUGAUUUGUUCCAGCUGGGGAGCGGGGGGUGUUUUCUUCUUCUUUGUAUACUUUAAGCCUAUUGAAGAAGCUUAUGUCAUAGUUUAGUAAACUGCUUGAUAGGGAGGUAAUCUAGUUACUAAUUCAUAAUCUAGUUUCUUCCAUUGGAAGUUAGCAUUUAUUUGUCUGGAAAUACUCACCACUAAACAUUGGCAUUUUAUGUGCAUAAAUGCUGGCAUUAUGUGCCCUCUUAAUCCAUGAUGGAAGUGCUUUUUUUUUUUUUUUUCCUUUAAAUAUUACAAUUAAUAAAUAAUUUUUUUUGAUAGGUAACAUCAAAAAGAUUGUUUAUUAAUUUUAUUUUUGUAUCUAUAUAUUUUCCAUGAUGUCAAAUUUAUGUAUACAAGUUUACACCUUGGCAAAAGCUGAGAAAUUCGAAGGCCCAGAUUAUUCUAGUUCCUGUGGACAUUAAUGAAGCUGGUGAACUGCUUUCAGUGAGAUGAUUUAGUUUUCUUCGGAAUUGAAACAAGAGUUUCUUCGGAAGGACAGUCAAGGAAAAAUUAUGUCAUGUUUUAGAAAUUAUUGCUCAUAUUUUAAUGGCCUGAUUUUGAUCUUGCUGAUGGAUUUGAAUGUUUGUUCAGAGGAAACUGAUGGCCUACCAAAGCAGUCAGUGGUACCAGCCCCUGAAGCUGUUGAAUCUCCUGAAACUGUUGUAGCUGCAGAGGAAGUUCAUCAGGUGCCAAUGGUAACAGCAAGCAAACCAAAAUACAGGUAUGGUUACACUUGCUUGUCUGUGCCAUUUGUUUGGUACAUAGACAAGAGAGUAACAUUAUUUUGUAUAUAUAUACUUUCUAGUCUUCUUUCAAGGUUGCCUAGGAGAUUGUAUAUGUUUGCAAUUUCAGUGAUUCAUUAAUACUGUCCAUUAGCAGUUUCAUGAUCAUUAAAUGUAUAACAUAUGUGCAGGCAUGAAUAUUACCAGAAACCACAAGAAGUGGUUGUCACCAUAUUUGCAAAAGGCGUACCAGAUGAAAAUGUUGUUGUUGACUUUGGUGAACAAAUAGUAUGGUUCAUCUCAACUCGAUACUUCUCAUUUUUAUUCUGUUUCAUAGUGACUUUGUGUUUUGUUAUUUAGAUCUUCUUCGUAGACAUUGAUUUGAUGAUUAUGCUAAUUCUUCUUUUUGGUUGCUUUGCAGCUGAGUGUCAGCAUUGAUGUUCCUGGUGAUGUUGCAUAUCAUUUUCAACCUCGCUUAUUUGGAAAGGUAAGGCUCAUAUUUCAUGUUGUUAGAAACUACUUUGUAAAUAAGUUUUAUUGGUACCAAACAUUUAGGAAUGGACUAGUGAUUAUCUAAUGCCCAAGAAUUUCUUUAGAUAUUUGAAGAAGCCUAAAAACAAGAAUGUUUUUGGACAAAACUAAGGAAGUGCAUGUGUAUAUACCUGGCCUAUUGACUUAGAGUAUGAUCUCCCUCUGUUUGUUUCUUGGAAAACUUCAGAAAAGGAAAUAGAUCUUGGUUGUGAAUUGUUUUGCUUCUCUUUCCCUUUUUUUUCCUUGGCAGUAACUGAAGAUAUAUGGAAAAUCCUUCCUUAAGUGCGUUGGUAAAAAAUAAAUAGGGGCUUCAAUCUUUUUUAUUUAAUUUUUUGACUGAAAAGGUUUGGGGUACUCUGAAACAGUUAGACUGUGAGUUCUAAGAAUGAUAGCAAUAUCUGUAACAAGUAUUCUGUUCGUGAUGCUUUAUUUGGAAGGCAAAAUAUUGUGUUCCAUUGGUUGAUCUAGUUUUUGUAGUCUAGUAUUAUAGGAAUAUCUAAUUCAUUUCACUUAUUCUGGAUGCUGAGUUUAUCAUCUGGUGUUUGGUUUUGACAAACAGAUAAUACCCGACAAGUGUAGAUAUGAAGUAUUGUCAACCAAAAUUGAAAUCCGACUUGCAAAAGCUGAAGAAAUUCAUUGGACUUCUCUUGAAUUCAGCAAGGAAAAUACAGUUCCACAGAGGAUAAAUGUAUCUACAAGUAAGUUGUUAGGCUUGUAAACUGCCCUUCUUUUAAUCCACCCAGAGAUUGAGCAGGAGAAGAUUUAAUUACCACCCCCCACCCCAAGUUGCUUCCAAAUUAUGGGUCUAAAAACCAGAACUAGGAUAAAUUAACAGUUGCAGCAAUUUGACAGUGUUUCGAGGUUGAAGACACUGAUAAUCGAUAUAUCAAUUUUCUCUGCUGCUUCUGAAAAUAUAUAUCAUGUUUACUUUCACUUUGUACAGUAGCUCUUUGUUCUUGUCCUGCUUCCUUAAUGCUGAGUUUUCUUCAUAUUUAUCACUGUUGCAAACCGCAACCAUAUAUAUAUAUAUGUAUGUAUGUAUGCAAUUUUUUUUUUCUUUUAUUCUUUUGGGUGUCUGAGUGAUACUGUCUCCUAAAUUGAAACCUCAUUUUAGAGGCCAUGUUUUUGUUUGAUACCAAGUAAACUGAAAAAUUCAUCCUGAAAAUACUAUUCUAUAUCUACAUGGAAAGAAGAACCCAUUGGACACGAUAUCUAUCCAAUGUCAUUUAGUGAGGAUGUUCUUAUGCUUGUGUGUCUAUCCUUGUUAAGCUCACAUCCAGGAUCAUCAGUUUCACAACUCCUGGAUCUGUUUAUACCAUCAAGAUCCAUCAGCCCAGCACACACUUUAUUUGCCCUCCCUCAUCUGUAAAAAACCAUCAAAUUUCAGAACACUCAUGGCAUUCUAUGGAGGACAAGUGCAUCCCUUGAUGUGGUUACUCUCCUUGAUUGCAUGUUGUGGGUCAAUGGAGUAUGUGAAAUGAUUACAUCUAUAAUCCCAUUUUAAGACUUGCAGUCUUCACUUAAUUGCUAGCAAGGGUAGGUUGCUUCCUCAUAAUGCAGUUUUGAGAAUGCAGUCUUCACUUAUUGCUAUCACUAAUAAACAGCAUCCUCAAAAUACAAUUUUUGUUUUUAUAUAGUGUUGCAAUUGGAGAAGAGCACAUAAAAGAAUUGCUGUGUGAUAUUUGCAGCAGUGACAAAUCUCAACAUGGCAAACGCGACAAUAGAUUUGGUAUUUCUUUUGCUUUCGUAACAAUCUGUUGAUGCUUCUCCAAGAUUAUAACAUUUUGGAAGAACAGAGGACAUUGAGUGAUCGAUUAUUAAUGUGUUUGCCUGAAGAGAAUUUGUUAGCUUGAAAAUCUUGACAAUAGAAUUGGUAUUUCUUUUGCUUUUGUAUCAAUAUGUUGAUGCUUCUCCAAGAUUGUAACAUUUUGGAAUAACAGAGGACAUUGAGUGAUUGAUUAUUAAUGUGUUUGCCUAGAGAGGAUUUGUUAGCUUGAAAAUCAUGAUCCUGUUACCAUUUUGCAGCAUAAAGUUUCCUAUCAUGCUAUGCUAAUAAGCUUAUUUCCUUUUUCAAGUUGCAGGUGUUGCAUCUCAAAGGCCCACUUACCCGUCCUCUAAGACUAGAAUGGUAGAUUGGGAUAAGCUGGAAGCACAAGUCAAGAAGGAGGUUUGCCUGCAAUCUAGAUCCUGUUACUUUGGUUUUCAUUAUUGUUUAACAUCAUAUGAGAACCUGAGGAAUUUUAUUUGGGGGUCAACUCUUUGGUGGUUUGAAUUUCAGGAGAAAGAAGAAAAGCUGGAUGGAGAUGCAGCUCUGAACAAAUUUUUCCGGGACAUAUAUAAAGAUGCAGACGAAGACACAAGAAGGGCCAUGCAAAAAUCUUUUGUAAGACUUCAAUACCGGAGUUACAUAAAAUAUCAUUCUAAUUGAGUAUGGGAUUAUAAAAGGGAAAUUAGCAAAUUAACGGAAGGUGACAUUGUUUUUCUUGGGGCUAUUUUUUAACAGGUGGAGUCAAAUGGGACAGUGCUGUCGACAAACUGGAAGGAAGUUGGAUCGAAGAAGGUUGAGGGAAGCCCUCCCGAUGGCAUGGAGAUGAAGAAAUGGGAGUACUGAGUUAUUUCUCCUCUAAAUUGUGUAUAAGUAUUUUAGUAUGCGAUUUUGCUCUUCUGCUCUAUUGACAUGAUUUCGGCUUUUCCUCCUUAUAGCUUAAUCUUUAGGAGUCUUGUGUUUGGACAUGCCCUAGGUAUUCUUCCCAUUUAAAACAAUUUGGUUUGCUAGAACUGCCCCCCUGUAUGUCCGUUAACCUUGGUACUGGUUUGCCAUUUAAUUGAAAUGAUUGAUGAAUUGUGUCUAAUGUUUGUCGAGAAUUGCUUGUCCUUUUGUUAUUCAAGAGCCAACUUACCUAUUUCUUGUGGUAUUUAUAGAAAAUCAACAACUAUGAGUCUGUUUAAGAACGUUUUGUAAAACAGUUUUCAAAUAAUAGUUUUUAAAAACAGUUCUCUUUGGAAAUUCAAAUAUGAAAAACAUCUUUUUCGGUUUAUGAAGUUAUAUCUGUAUAAUAUGGUCUUGAGGGUUCCUUCUAGGACUGAAAGGCCGCACUUCUUUAUUAGGUUUUAUAGAAUGGUUGGACCCUUUUGUGUGAGGUUAUAUAUUGUGUUCGUCACUUUAGUUUGACACCUUUCAUAUAUUUAUUAAUAUGCAUACUCUUAUUUGUUUAUAAGAGUACAUUGUUUCUAGACUCAGUUUUCCAACACAUGAUCAUCUCAAUUCUUUACAUACGUCAAUGAAUCUAAGGGCAAGAUGAUUGUUCCUCCCCUCUACCCACCACUUGCCUGACACACUUCGUUCUUAAUUCCCUUGACCCUCCUGCUCUUCUCUUAUUGGUAAAACUUUGGAGUGUCACCAAGGGUUGAUCUGGACUUUCCUCUUAAGUUACUGUAGACAACCCACUUUCCCAGCACUCUUGGUCCAAUUAGACUAGGGUUUCUCGGCAAACAGAAGGAGCACAAAUGAAAAUUCAAUGAAUGGUUAGGCGUGUGUGAUGAAUCUACUGCCAAAAGGAUACUUGAAUUUGCAUUCAAGAAACAAAAAUACUGCUCUCAAUACAAUAAGAAAUCGCUCGAUGGUUAAAAUGUUUCUAAUCUUUCCAAUAUCAAGUAUAUUUUUAAUCAAAAAGUGUGAGAAUCAGGGCCAAACAAGCUCUAAAUUAUUCUUCAGAAUUCCAUUGAAAUUACCAACAGCCAAACAGUUUGCAUCUCACGCUAUCCAAGAAUUGGAAAUAGGCAACCCUCCAUGCCUUUUUGAUUGCCAAUGGACCCAAAACAGCCCAAAACCCAAUCACAAAUCCCAGUGGCAUGCUCAUAUAGAACCACUUCAUUUCGAUCCAAUUAUCAUCGUCCUCUUCAUCAGCAGUCCCUGGUAUUGGAACCUUUGGGAGAUCAUCUCCAACACAAGUUUCUGUAAGAGGGGGCCCACAGAGCUCAAGAUUACCAAUAAAACAGCUCGCAUAAAAGCUUUGGAUUUGAGUGCCUGAUGGAAUUCUGCCUGAGAAGUUGUUGUACGACACAUUUAAAUGGCUCAAGAAUGAUAUACCUGCAAGGCUUUGUGGAAUAACACCCGAAAGUUUGUUCCUGGAGAGAUCAAGGGACUCCAACGAUGUCAUGGCGCCGAUCUCCAUAGGAAGCUGUCCUUCAAGAUGAUUUACAGACAGGUUCAAGAAAAUCAAACCUUGGAGACUGGUCAGUUCUUUCGGUAUCUCACCCGUUAAGUUGUUGCAUGAGAGGUCUAUUAGAGUUAGAAGGGGAAGAGAACCACUGUACUCAUAUUCUGUUCUCUUUACAACCAGUGAUGCUGUGUCCGUGAACCCUAUCGCAGAAUUAUUGUAAGAAAGAAAUGACCCCCUUGGUUGCACUUGGCUGGCCAUGACACUGAAAUUGCCAAAACAUCUUGGAAUGGUCCCUGAAAGGCUGUUGUUUGCAAGGUCUAAGACUUGAAGGGACUUGAGGAGACAGAAUUCCAUAGGAAUACUCCCAGUAAAUUUAUUUGAUCGUAGGGCAAGAACCAUAAGACUGGACAGAUUCUUCCCCACCCACAUCAGUAUGCUUCCAGAGAAUUCAUUCUCACUGAGGUCUACAACUGUCAAACUUUCGCAACCUUGCAUGGAAGGCGGUAAAGUACCAGAGAGACUGUUGUUGCGCAUGUGCAAUGAUCUUAGCCAAAGUAGGGAACCCAUCGAGCUCGGUAGAUGUCCAGUCAGAUUAUUAUUCCGUAAUCUCAACACCGUAAGUAGUGUCCAGGACGCCCAACAGUCAGGAAGUUCUCCUGAUAGAAUGUUUCCGGAGAGGUCUAAAGAAUUCAAAGUGUUCUCUUCAUUGUUCUGCUGACACAAGAUGUGUGAAAGGGAUCCAUUAAAGGAGUUAUGGGAAAGAUCUAAUGAAAAUGUCUUGGAAGAGAUACGAGGCAGUGGGCCAGUGAAUUUGUUUGAACCAAGAUGGAUCUGAUAUGCAGCUGGUAAGCUUGGAACAGUGCCAUACAUCCGGUUGUAGGCUACAUUUAUGUAGUCAAGAUUGAGACUCCAGAACCAAGAUGGGAUGGCAUCUUUGAUUCCUGCUCUGGAUAUGUCUAGACGCAUCAAAUCCUUUUGUGUUUGCAGCCAUGCAGGAAAUAGAGGCCCCAACUGCCAAUAUCUCAUUUCCAAAAUUUCCAGUUGGAAUGGAGGAUUCCAGUCAGAACCCACUUGCAAUGUAAACGACUUUGACUUUGAUUUUGAAGAUGCAUAUAAAUAUUUCAACCUUGUCAAAUUAGCGAAGUGCUUUUCAGACACCACACCGUUCAGAGAAUUCCCGGAAAUAUCUAAGUAACUCAAGGAUGACAAGCCUCUUGCAGAUAUAGAAGUUGGUCCAGAAGAUGAACUAUUCCCAACAGAAAGAACUGAUAAGCAUUUCAAAAAAUGACCUGAAAGUUCGUCUGCUCCAAGGUCUAGAAACUCUAAACCUUUGACAAGUUUAUUAGAUGACAAAUCUAGCCUUUGUAGAUUGCAAAGUUCUCCCAAGGAUCUUGGGAUUUCCCCUUCAAAGGCAUUGUUCGACAGGUGUAGAGCUACAAUUGAAGUAAGGUUUCCGAUGGAAACUGGAAGGAUUCCAUGAAAAUUGUUGUUUGAAAAGUCGAUACUUUCAAGGCUAGUUAGGUGACUCAAGCAAUCAGGUAUAGUGGAAGUGAAGCUGUUAUUGAAAAGAUGAAGGGAUCUUAGAGCAGUUAAAUUGCAAAGAGCAGUUGGAAUUGGUCCAUGAAAGUUACUGGAACUUAGAUCAAGUGAAACAAGUGAUCCAAGGCUAGAGAACCAGUCCAAUGUUGGAGAAACAAAUUGAUUCUCUGAGAGGUCAAGGACAGUGAGAGACGAAAAAUUCACGGCUGGAAGAGGAUUGAUGCUACUGAGCCCACAAUCAGACAAGAUUAGAACUGACAAAGAAUGGAGCAUAUUCAUCCCUUGUAGCCAAUUAGACGCUUUGCUUAGGUCCACCCAGCUCAUGUCAAGAACCUCUAGGACAGAAAGAGGAGAAAUCCAGUCAAGAUUCUCAAUAUUCAGAGAAUUACCUCCAAUAUCAAGAUACUGCAAGCUCAAUAGGUUUCCAAGUUGACGAGGAACAUCACCAGUAAAACCUGCAUUGGAGAGAUUAAGAUACCUUAAACCUGUCAGGGAACCAAGGAAUUCUGGAAUCUGAAGUCCUUCGAAGCUGUUCCAGCUGAGGUCCAGGUACUGAAGAUGCUUCAGGUCCAACAAAGAAGUACUGAUUUCCCCACCCAAGGAAGCUCCGUCCAUUGGAUUGCGACUGAGGUUGAUCUUGACAACAUGCCUAGUUAUGUUGUCACAGCCAAUGCCUUUCCAUGAACAGCAGGCUUCACCGGUCCAAGACGAGAGGUAGUUUCCCUGAUCCACAAGGCCUUGUUUGAAUCUGUGGAGUGCUUUUCUUUCUCUUGCACUGCAGAUGACAUCUGAAGUUCCCUCACUCAAACUAAACUGGAUGGUGGUACUUGCUAAGGACAGAAACCAAAACCACAGAACCACCACAUCUCUAAUACUUUUCCUAUCCAUAGAACUAGUUCUGCAACAGAUGAAUUGAGAAGGAAAUUUUCCAAAGGUGAUUUGUAGUAAGAAGCAAGGGCUUAGGCUACAUACUUAUAAUGAUACCAGGAAUAAAGAAAUCUGUUAUAAGCCUGACCUUAAUGUGUAUUUUAUGGAUCAAAGUCUUCGUUAAUUGUUAAUCAUAGGAUUCAUAGGUGGUCUUGAAGAAACUUUCAGCGUUCUUUCCGUUGUUAUAAUUCUUUAAUCUGGCCUUAGCAUUUCGUCUUCGACAAGCAAACGUUCAGAAGGAGACCUUUGGGUGGUAAAAUGAUUAUACAAAUUGCCAAGGUUUGAACUAAGGUAUAAAUAAAAGCUGCAACUACAAACCAUGGUAAUCAACUUUGUGGAAACUGAAUGGAAUAAUUUGCAGUGAGGUUACAAAGUACUUGGGCAGCAACUUCAUGAAAAAAGACUAGUCCAAGUUGAAGCCACAGAUAGAUAAUAAAUGGUGAAUGAAAGACUAGAGAAUGGAGUCAAGCUGAUAAGAUUGAAUACGUGAGCAGAUGGGGUAUGGGGUAGUGAAUUUCAUUGUCAUUUUGGAAGUAGUUUGAAAAUGCUGAACUCACCUACCUCUGAAGAUACUUCAACUGUGGAUCUUGGAUUUUUCCUUGUUUGAACAAAGGAAAACUCCAUUAAAUAUAAGAACAGCAACGAUUACAAUAGAAAGGAAUCUAUUAAAAAAGGGGCUGAGCUAUGUACACCCCCUUUUGGUAAUUGCCAAGAAAAUCGAGUAAAGGCUAGGAAAGAAAAUAAAAAUUUUAAAUCAAAGAAAAUAAAAAGGACGGGUUUCAUCAAGGAAGAAAGAAACAAGGAAAGAAGUUAUAGGAUCAUCAUUUUUUCUCACUAAAUAAAAGAAGCUAUUGGCUACAGCGAUAAGUAUAGCCAUUAGCAGCAAAAAGAAGAUUGCUGCAACCAUUAAAACUUGCUUGCAUUUUAUAGAUGUAUUUUCAUCUUCAUUUCCAUGCAGGAAAUUUGCAACCAUUUGUGUCUUCAAGGUAAUUGGCAUACAUGACUUUGUUAAUUAUUAAUCAUAGAUGGUCUUAAAAGAAACUUUCAGAGUUCUUGCCAUUGUUAUAACCCUUUAAUCUGGCAUUAGGAUUUCAUCUUUGACAAGCCAACGUUUAGAAUGAGACCUUUGGGUGAUGAAAUGAUGAUACAAAUUGCAAAGGUUUGGAGUUUGAAGGAUUCCAAAUCCUAUUCGAGAGAUGCUACCACAAACCAUGGUAAUCAACUUCGUGGAAACUGAAUGGAGAAAAUUGCAGUGAGGUUACACAGUACUUGGGCAGCAAUUUCCUGAAAAAAAGACAAGUCCAAGUUGAAGCCACAAAUAGAUAAUAAAUGGUGAAUGAAAGACUAAUGGAGUCAAGAUGAUAGGAAUGAAUAUGUGAGCAGUUGAAACUAAUAUGAAGCCACAGUGAGGUAGUGAAUUUCAUUAUCAUAGUGGAAAUAGCUUGGAAAUGCUGGACUCACCUACCUCCCAAGUCAAACUCAGAUACUUUUUAACUGUGGAUCUUGGAUUUUUCCUCGUUUGAACAAAAGAAAACUCCAUUAAAUAUAAGAACAACAACAACUAAAAUAAGAAAGGAAUGUAUCAUAAAAGGAGCUGUCCAUUUUUCAUAUUAAAGCAAAAUUCAAUGUUAAAAUAGUGGUACAAGCACCAUGUCUAUAUUUAACGUAUCAUUGAUGCUAUACCUAUAAUGUGCUUUCUUUGUGGGAAAAUUUUAAAAAUAUCAUGAAUUGUUUGUGGGGGUAGAAGCAUGACCCAAACAUUAUAGCUUUGUCCCAUUUUCUCCAACUUGUUGAGCAAUAAUAUCUUUUCUUUUUUUUUCCAAAUUGUAUUAUUGCCCUAGAGGAUGACUCAACUCUCUUGCCGUGCUUGAGUUGUAAGUAAUGAAAGUGAUGACAAAAUUUUCUAUGAAAGGAAGAAAUUAAAGAUGAAUCUUGUUGGAGUAAUAGGAUUGAAAAGAAAUACAAACAAUUAUAAAAGAUAAAAAUUUGGGAGAUUGAAAAGUGUUUUUGAAAAUAGUUCUUAAGGGCAUGUUUGGUUGCUGUUUUUGAAAACUGUUCUGGAAAACAGUUUUUGAGAACAGUUUUUAAGAACAGUUUUUGAUGUUUUUAAAAAAAAAAUUGUGUUUGGGAACUGAAUUUUAAAAAACAGUUUUUGUUCUCAAAAACAAAAAAACAUGUUUGGUUGAGUUAAUAAAAUAAAAAAUUUAAACAAAUAAAAUAAAAAACACGUUUGAAAGAUGUUUUUUUUUUCUUUUCUAAUUAAUAAAAUAUUUUCUUCAAGUAAUUUUACAUUAUAAAUUUAUAAAUAAUUUUUAGAUAUAUAGUUCAUUUAAAUUAAAAAAAUUAUUUAUUUUAUUAAUUUAAAAAUAAAAAUAUUUUUUAUAUUUUUUUAAAAUAAAUCAAACAUAAUAAAAUUAUUUUUAUUAAUAUUUUUUUAUUUAAUCUUAAAAAGGUAUAACAUAUUCUAUUAAAUUGAGAUAAAAUUGUGCUCGUGAUUUAUUAAUUUUUUUUUUUUAUCUCUACUAAAUCCAAAAUGCCACCCACUUCUCUCUCUCUCUCGGGCAUCAAAAAGCCCUUUUCUGAAGUUGCCCUCCAUCGGGCAUCAAGAAGCCCUUUUCUGAAGUUGCCCUCCAGCCAAGAGAAUCCCUAAAAGGCCCUAUUUUCCUCUGCCACUCUCAAUCCUCGCAGGUACUAAUCUAAUCAUGUUAUUAUUAUUAUUAUUUUUUUUGCAACCCCAGUUUGAUUACCAAGAAAAUCCAUCCCCCAUUCGAUUUCCGGGAAAUUUCAUCCUCGUUUGAUUUCCGAGAAAAUCCAAGCAAAAACCCCAAGGAAAACCAAAAAAAUGGUUCUUUUGCUCCCUGUGUUUUCUGGAUCCGUUUUAGGGGUCUCUUUGCUAUUGUGCCAUUGGAUUUAAAUUUCACGAACCUUGAAUCAAGACUGAGACCGUGCUGGAGAAGAGAUGAGAACGGGAAGAAAAAAAAAAACACGGAGAACAAGUUGUUUUUUUUUGUUUAAUUUUGUUCUGUAAACAGUAAAAAAACGAGGAAAACAACAUUUUGUUGUUCUCUAAACAGUGCCAUUUUGAGAACACGGGAAACAACAAAAACAAAAACGACCCUGUCAACCAAACGAGUUUUUGGUGUUUUUUGUUUUCAAGAACAGAAAACAGUUCUUGAAAACACUAAACAAACAGGCCCUAAGUUUUUCAGAAAGGUUUUUAAAAAUUGUUCUCUAAUAUUUUGUUGAACAAAAAUCUAUGUAAAAUCUAAAAUGUUCUUGACUAAUUUUCUAUAUAUUUAAAUAUAUUUUAAAAAUAAUUUUUAUAUGUAGUGUUUUAUUUUUAAUUUUUUUUAUAUUUAUAUAAUUAUAUUUUAAAAUAGCUCUUAGAAGACAAGAGAAAACAAUUGAAAAAAAUAUAAAAUGAUGUAAUCUAAAAACACCUUGUUUAUGUUUUUAAGAACACAAAAUUGUUUCUGAUUUUUUGGUUGCUAAAAGUGUUUUUUUUUUGUUAUGGAGAAUAAAAAACUUUUUAAAAAAAUAAUUACCAAACAAGGCAUAGAACCUAAUUGAAUUCCACCAUUCUCACUUUUAUUCAAGUAUUACAUAAUCUCUUAUUUAUAGAUACCAAACACUUCUCUUAACUAAAUAAAAACUCAUAAUAAUAAAAUAUAGAAACUUUCUAAGACUUGAUUGCUAAAAAAAUAAACUAAAAUUACCACUUAAAAAAAAUAUUCUCUUUGAUUUUUAGAAACCAAAUCUAAUUCUAAUAUUUAGAAAGUUUCUAAAUUAAGGUUAACUUUCUAAUAUGCCCCUUUAAACUUGAUUUGUGACUCCAAUAAGCAUCCUUAACCUUCUAAAAUCUUCAAACUUGAUACACUUGGUAAAAAUAUCUACAAUUUGACCAUGAAAUUUUACAAAUUUUAAUUGCUCUUCCUUCUUCAUAAUACACUCUCUAAUAAAAUGAUAUCUUCUAUCGAUAUGCUUGCUUCACUUAUGGGAAAUUGAAUUUUUUAAUAAUGCAAUAAUUGAUUUGUUGUCCACAUAGAUUUUUGUUGGUUCUUUUUGUGGAAAAUUAAGCUCCUUCAACAAAUUUUUGAGCCAAAUUGCAUGACAUACACAUGAUGUUGCCAAAGCAAAUUCCAUUUCACAAGUUUAAAGUGUCACAAUAGGUUGCUUCUUUAAGGACCAAAUAAAUGCGACAUCUCCCAUGAAAAAGUAAAGCUAGUAGUACUCUUUCAAAAUUUGAUGUCUUCACCCCAAUCACUAUCACUAUAUCCAACAAGUUUAAAAUUGUGAGAAGGUGAAUAAUAUAAAUCAUAAUCAAGUGUACCUUUGAUGCAGUGAAGAAUUCACUUGGUAGUUUUCUCGUGAGUCAUCGUUGGUGCUUCCAUAAAAUGACUAAUAUGUCUAACUAAAAAAAAAAUGUCUAAUCUUGUGCAAGUUAAAUGCUGUAGACUUCCAACUAAACUUUUGUAUCAUGUUGGAUUCACGUUUUCUCUUUCUUCAUAUCUUGACAAUUUAACUCCACAUUCAAUUGGUGUGUUACCGGAUUACACAUAUUCAUGCCAAUCUUCUUGAUAAUUUCUUUUGCAUGGCCAUCUUUAGAAAUAAAAAUAUUAUUUUUGGUUUAUUUCACUUCUAUGGUGAUCAUCUCAAACUCUUAAGCCAUUACUUUUUUGAACUCAUCAAACAUGGUUAAUAUUAAGAUAAAGCCUUUAAAAGUAUAACAUGGUAUAACAAAUUUGGAAUUUAUUAUUUAUUUAAUAAUAUUCUAAUUUCAAUUUUUAUUUAUCCUUACUUCAUAUGUUAUAUCUUAUAAGCAUUCUGACUCGACAACUUUUGCACUAGGGGAGGAGUAUCAUAGUUGCUUUCUUGAGCACUCGAAUCCCACAUUUCUUCAUUAUAUUUAGCAUUUCUACUAAUAAUGAUCUUUUCAUUAUUUGGAUUGUAUAACUUGUAGCCUUUGGUGCUUGAAUUAUAAUCAAUUAAAAUAUAUUUUUCACUCUUAUUAUCUAACUAUGAUCCCUUCUUAUUUGACCUUUUUUCAUUUCAAGCUUGUUGUAGUAUUUUAUUCCAUAUACUUAGAUUAGUUGAAUGAUUCGAGAAAUAAAUUGCACAAUCAACCACUUUGGCCCAAGAAAUGUAAAUACUUUUAAAUUCUUCGGUCUUUAUAUUAGAGAGGAAAAUAAAAAUAAAAAUUGGGAGUUUCAUGGAAAUAAUUUACUAAGUUUGAAUAUAUAUUUAUUAUCUUUCCUAAAAUUUUAGAAGAUCCAAAUGGUGAGAAAUGAUCAUUUCCCCUUCUUUAAGGCAGCAUCAGCCUUGUUCUGACUCUUAAUUAUUCCACACUUCUUUUCCAAAUUCCAUGGUUGACGAUUUCCAAUCAUUUUCCUCUGCACUUUUGCUAUCUUACUUUAUUCCAAACCAACAAGAUUGCAAAAGGGGAACAUAGGCAUGGUCCACUACUUUGAAAAUUAGGACAUACCUAUAACCAUUAUGUUUGGGAAUAUAGGCAUAGUACACUAUGAAAAUUAGGGCAUACCUAUAAUCUUUGUGUUUUUCCCACUAAUAUUAAAAUAACAAAAAGAAAAAUGCAACAAUUUUUCAACGUCUUUACGUUAGUGAUCACAAAAGCAUUAAUAGACUCCCUAAUUUACUCUAAAAUAUUUCUCUUCAUAUACAUUUCUACCAAACUUCCCUUCUUACAUCAUUGUAAAUCAAAGCUUUUGCAUUAGAAAAAUGUGGUGGUGGUGGGGGAUAAGACUAGAAAUUGAUCCCAUAAAGUCCUCAUAUUCUCAUAAGUCGUCCAUGUUGGAAGAGUGUGUGAGCGGGUGGUUUGAGUCAAAAUGAAAAGGUGGUAGUUGCUGGACAAUAAUAAAUAAUCUAAACAUGCUAUAAAAACCAUUAAAUAGCAAUUAGAUCAUAAACGGAAUUAUAGAUAGAUCGGAAAACGUACCUCCCGCCAUUGCCAUUCUACAGGUUAAAACGUGUUUUGCUAUUUUCGGGUUUCAAGUGCUUCUAAACCUUCACAACCUCUACUUAGAUGGUGUUUUGAAAAACUGAAAGAGAUUACAGGCUUAGGGAACCUUACCCAUGAGUGUUCUGCCUCAUUUUAAAGACUUUCUCCAUCACCGAGUCUGCCUGGAGUGUGCACAGAACAUGGGAUAAUGAUGCGAACGUGGUUCUGAGCAUGAAUCCUCGUUCUUAAAUUGAUGGAAUGAUGUGGACCACAUUCCAAAUCACGUCUUCGGUUUAUUACCGAAGAUGCAGGAGAAAUAAAAGCCCAACAUUCUCCCACUUGGUCCAUAUAUUCCAUCAUUCAUCAUAGCAAGAAACAAAGCACAUGAAUCAUGGCGAUAGGUCCUCUAAAAUCGAGUAUUAUCUUCCAUGUAUCACAAUGCAUCAUGUCUCUUAAACACUAGCCCAUAUGGCUUAAUGAAUAAACCCUAUGUUUAUUCUAGGUUCAAACAUUAAUGAUAUUUCUCAAUAAAUGAAUAAAAGUGUACACAAAGAAAAUCAAAUAUGAGAAAACAUCACAAAUAGAGUUUCAUUGAAAAUAACAUUCAUUCUUACAACGAAAAUCACACAAAGGAACCAAGUCCCAAUCUAUCUACAUGAUCCUUAAAUUUCAACGGUGGCAUGCCUUUAGUUAAAGGAUUUACAAUCAUCAAUUCAGUGCUAACAUGUUCAAUAACCACUGUUUUCUCUUUAACAUGUUCUCUUAGGGCUAAAUACUUGAUGUUGAUGUGCUUGUUUCAACUGCUACUUUUGUUGUUCUUAGCAAUAAAAACUGCAGCUGAAUUGUCACAAUAUAUCUUCAAUAACCUAGAAAUUGAAUCCACAACUUUAAGCCCAAAAAUGAAACUCUUUAACCAUACACCAUGCUAGGUAGCCUCAAAACAAGACACAAACUCAACCUCCAUAGUGGAAGUUGCAAUCAAAGUUUGCUUUGCGCUUCUCUAAGAAACAGCUCCACCGACUAGCAUAAAGACAUAUCCUAAAGUUGAUUUUCGCGAAUCAAUGCAGCCAGCAUAGUCUGAAUCAGAGUAGCUAAUCACUUCCAAAUUAUCAAUUUGUCUAUACAUAAACAUGUAGUCUUUGGUCCCCUGAAGAUACCUCAUUGAUUACUACUCAAAAAGUGCUAUUUUGAUAGCUUGUAAUUAACUCUUUUAAACACUUUUGAGUAGUAGUUAUUGCCUUUUAACCCAAUUAACAUGUUAAGGACCCUUGCAAUCAUUUCUAAUCAAAUUGUGUAAGUUUUGGUGUUUUUGAUAGCUUUUUGAUCACCAAAACAAUCCAAGAUUGAGGAGAGUUAUUUGGAAUCCAUGGCAAAGCAAUGGAAGCUCAAAUUCAUGAAGAACCAAGCUUUGGAGCUCCAUAUCCCUUUGCCAAAGUCGUUCAAAGUAUGCAAGGAAAGAGUACUGGAGAGAGGAAAAACAGAGUGAAGAAAACAGAGGAAAGCUAGCUGCAGUCUUCAUGCGCACUUUUGGAGCGCUUCCCGAAGUCCAUUUUCUACAUUCUAUAUACCAUUUCAAAGCUCAGGAAGUCAAGAAUCCAAUGCUUCAAACGGUGUGCAAUUCGGAGUUGAAACGAAGGAGUUACAGCCAUUGCAAGCAGAUCACUCCAAAGUGUUGCGAAAUCAGCCUUUUGUUGCGAGAAUUUCGCAGCCUUUUUGUACAGUGCUAUGGAAUUCCUCCUGAAGCUACCCGAUACAUGCCGCAAGCUGGAACUCUGAGAACCUCAAGGUGGAAGCCAAUUUCGCAGCCCUGCGAGUUUAACUUGUUGUUGCGAAAAUAUUUCGCAGCCCUCUUAAGUGUCUGCGAAAUCUCGCAGACACCAUUUUCACCUGCGAAAUGUCCUUAGUGCUUCCUGAUAUUUGUGCACCGACUCUUUUAGAUCUUUUCUUCAGAUAUUUUUGUAUAAUUUCCAUUUUCUCCUUGUAUUCAACCACUCAUGUAAUUCCUUAGCUAGAAAGUAUCCAAGGAAGGGUAAAUUACCUUCCUAUAUAAACUCCCUUGCAUCCACUGUAAAAAGAGGAGAACCAUAUAUGUAAUCCAAUAUAUAGAAUCAACGAACAGAGCACUUGCUCUGUUU